rnacentral:lncRNA from 1 species
ACCAUUUCCACCAAAAGUUUUCCACAAACAUCCUCUUUUCCCUCAUAUUCCUAUCUACAAGAAACCUCUCCCUCCUCCUGUGCCUGUCUAUGUAAAACCUCUUCCCCCUCCUGUGCCUAUCUAUAAGCCUCCUGUAUAUGUAAAACCUCUCCCUCCUCCAGUGCCUAUCUAUAAGCCACCUGUUUACGUGAAACCUCACCCUCCUCUUGUGCCUGUUUAUAAACCACCUGUAUACGUGAAACCUCACCCUCCUCCUGUGCCUGUCUAUAAACCACCUGUAUAUGUGAAACCUCACCCUCCUCCUGUGCCUGUCUAUAAGCCUCCUAUUAUUCCAGUUACUAAACCGCUUCCACCACCGGUUCCGUUCAAGAAACCAUGUCCACCAAAGAUUGAGCAUCCAAUUCUACCACCUGUUCCAAUAUAUAAACCUCCAAUAGUUCCAAAGCCACCGGUGGUUCCGAUCGUCAAGCCACUUCCUCCUCCAGUUCCAAUUUACAAACCACCAGUUGUCACUAAACCUUUUCCUCCAUUCAAGAAACCACCAUGUCCACCAAAGAUUGAGCAUCCAAUUCUACCACCUGUUCCAAUAUAUAAACCUCCAGUAGUUCCAAAACCACCGGUGGUUCCGAUCGUCAAGCCACUUCCUCCUCCAGUUCCAAUUUACAAACCACCAGUUGUCACUAAACCCUUUCCUCCAUUCAAGAAACCACCAUGUCCACCUCUUCCCAAGCUCCCUCCAAAGCCAUUUUUCCAUCACCCCAAGUUUGGAAAAUGGCCUCCAAAGCCUUUUUUCCAUCACCCCAAGUUUGGAAAAUGGCCACCAAUCUCUCCAAAGAACUUCUUCCAUCAUCCAAAGUUAGGAAAUUGGCAUCCUAAAAGCUUCUUCCAUCACCCUAAGUUUGGGAAAUGGCCACCAUUAACUCCUCAUAAUUAGUCUCUUUGUUGGUUUUACAAAAUAUUCAUGGUUUUUGUCUUCUUUGUUUCUCUAAUUACUACCACAAUCAAUUUGCAAAUAAAGCCUUCAAGUCAGGCAUAAAGCAUAUGAACAGAAGAGCAUCAAGCCAUGAUGGAGAAAACCAAAAAUAGCAUGAUGUUGUUUGAAGUUUGAUGAAGCUGCCGAAUGUAUUCAAUUGUUGUUCUUGAGUGAAGAUCACCGGAAUUAUUAUUCUUUUAAAAUUACUUUCAUGUGUAUAUAUAUACAUGUGUUGUGUGUUAGUAUUUUGUGAUGAUAUUGCAUUUUCCCACUUUCUAUCUUGGGUUAUUAAUAAAAUUCCCACUUUAUCUCCAAGUAUAAACCAUUAGCAUCGUUAAUCACUUACAAUAAUGACCACGAUUUUUACUUAUACAAAAUGUGAGCAUAUAUUAACGAAAUCAACUUAUUUAUUUUAAAAUAAGAUUCAAAUAAUAAGGUGAGAACAAAUAAAAAAUAUGGUGGAUAACAUAAAAACUUGAUGCUCUUGCAAUGUUAUGAGCAAUAAAGUUGACUCACCUCCUAAUAAAAUUUAUACUAAAGGUUCGAUAAUGUGCAAGAUGUGAUCUACACAGAUAGUAAGCUAGUGUCUCUCAAAUCUGCUUAUUACUAUUCUAGUUCCUUAACUUUCUUAUAUAUAUAGUAUAAUGGUGUCUUAUUUUUUAAUUAAUGAAAUAUGAUUGUAAAAAAAAUGAAUGCUAUAUUAAAAUAGUUAUAACUCCAAAUUUGGAAAAUAUAUUUUCCUCAAUUCAACGUGUAACAAAAAAUUGAGUACGAAAAUAUAACUAGAAAAUUUAGAAACUCCAAUUUAUACGGUCGAAUUUUUACAUAUUCGUAAAGUCAAAUAUUAAUAGUUGUUCAAUUAAAAUAAAAUAAUAUAAUUCAAAUUAAAUAUUUUAAAAUAUAAAUUAAAAAAAAUAAAAAUUUAUUUGAAAUAUUGUCCGUUUAAUUUCAAUCGGACGAUCACGUAAUCCAAAUACGUGCAAGGACAUCAGAGUCACACAGCGUGAGAAAGCGCGAAAAAGAGAAGAAUCAAAUAAAAAAGAUUAAACUAAACCCUUCAAUUUUCUGGGUUUUUGCAUUGCUAGGGUUUUACCUCGAUCACUCUUCUCGUUCUCUCCUCCAACAAUGUCCGAUACUAGCUCCAUAGACGCCUCUCUCUGGUGGGACUCAUUCACUCUCCUCUUCACUGACCUUGAAAAUUCCUCUCUCUCUUCAGAUCUCCCACUGAAUUUGGUACACUUCAACUCGUUUCUCUGUGUCUUCACUUGCUUCUCAAUUUGUGCAUUUAAACGAAUUCUUUUGCUCUUUUUAGGUGAAUAAGUUGAAGGACAAUCAUGCCUGGUUCGUGGAUACACUUUCCCGCUUCAAAUUGCCCAAUCAUAAAUCCAAGGAAGCUUUGAAUUCAAAGAAACUCAAAAUUGGAUCUCAACAGCUUACUAUUCAACCUCACUUCAAAGAUAAAGCUCUGCAAAUUAGCUCAUGCUUGGUUAGUUGCUUCUUCCUUUGUUUUUGUGGACAUUGUAGCCCUUAAUGAUCAUUACUGUUUUAUCAAUUUUGUCGUUAUCAUUACGUUUGGGGUUCAGNNNNNNNNNNNNNNNNNNNNNNNNNNNNNNNNNNNNNNNNNNNNNNNNNNNNNNNNNNNNNNNNNNNNNNNNNNNNNNNNNNNNNNNNNNNNNNNNNNNNNNNNNNNNNNNNNNNNNNNNNNNNNNNNNNNNNNNNNNNNNNNNNNNNNNNNNNNNNNNNNNNNNNNNNNNNNNNNNNNNNNNNNNNNNNNNNNNNNNNNNNNNNNNNNNNNNNNNNNNNNNNNNNNNNNNNNNNNNNNNNNNNNNNNNNNNNNNNNNNNNNNNNNNNNNNNNNNNNNNNNNNNNNNNNNNNNNNNNNNNNNNAUGAUGGAGCUAAAGAUUUCAAUUGCUGAAACAAAAUUCGAAUUAUGUUUUGACAUUGAACUCUGAAAAAUUAUCCCACAGUUGGAAUUUGAAAGUGAUGUUAUCAAUAUUGAAUAGAUAGUGUUGUUUUUAAUAUUCUUUAUUAUGGGUUUGGGAAUAUACCUGUUAAUGUCAAUUUGUCCAGGGAAUUCUUCUGUUAGAUUAUUGGAAUUUUUUAAUUGAUGUUCAUGUUUAUUUCAGCUACUAGAUGAAGUUCAAUCAUACAUACUUGUUGAAAGGUCCAUUGAACUUAACAGUGCAGCUGCUGAUUCCACGGCUUCAGAGUUUCUUCACAUUGUUAGUUGUUUAAUCCCUCUAGUCAAUCUUUUAUAUAACAUCUGUGUCCUGCUUUAUAGUUUAUACAAUUUUUUAUCACAUUGUUUCAAAGGAUUUGGCUGAUCUGACAUGUUUUUACAGACAUAUUUUUAAGUAAAAUGACAGAAAUGAAUUAUGUUAAGUCAUUGUUUGAUGGAUACCCAAAAUUUAUUUGUACAUUUUUCGUGAAAUUUUUAUUGUUCGAGACUUUAAGAGUAGUGGUUGGGAGUUCAUAGAUUUGACAUAAUAUUUGGAAUGAUUUAUAGUUGUUCACACUAUGUUACAUAUUUGGACUUUGGUAGAAGGUCUAAUGCCAUGUGUGUUCCACAAGUUCCAUGCAUAUGAUUUCUUUUUCCUUUUAAUCUCACCAAAAGGUAUCUCUCCGUGCACACACACAUGUAGAACUUGCCCUGUCUCCGUGUUCUUUCAAAUUGAAACCUUUCUGGCUUUUCCUCAUCAUGCCUUUUAUGUUUAAUGUGUUUAAGCUAUUUAUCAGUGUUGUCUAAUAGUGACAAUAGUUCUAUAACAUAGCCGAUUUUGAUGAAUCUUCUAUGAAAACCGCGACGCUAUUCUAGUUUUACUAUUAGGGUAACAUUAAUCGCCUUUUCAGUUUCUACUAGCUGAUAUAGCAGUUAUAGCGGAAAAAAGAGAAUUUAGAGUUUUUAAAAAUAAUAAAACUACAGAAUCUGCAUGUGUGCCAAACAUGACCUAUUUUUAUUCGAAAAAACUGAAGAGUAGGUGGGUAUUACUCCUUAAUUCACCGUAACAUGUAAAACUCUCAAUAUACAAGCUAUGCUAUGCCUCCAUUCCCUUUUUCAUUUGUACACAGCAUACCUUUUUUAUAUGUAAUUGACUUAUUUCAACUGCUAUGUGGCUUCCGCUAUUUGCCUACAAUGCUAUCUUCUAUUUCACAUAGUGGAUUUUUUAUUUUCCGCUAUGUUCCAUAAUCCGCUAUUGAUAACAUUGCUAUUGAUAUUAAUUAUGUUUUGGUUCUCUAUAUUGACUUUAUUGCAUGGGAGAGUUCAUAAUACUCCCUCCAUCGCACAAUGAGUGACCCAAUUGACCAUUUCACACAGAAUAAGAAAAAUGUAUAAAUUGAAUUGAAGACAGAACAAUACUUUUACUAAAAUGUCCUUAUCAAGUAUUGGUGCAUUCACCAUUACCAUAAAAGCAAAGUGAAAAAUAUUUAUUGAAAGUGGUGCAUGUAGUAUUAGUUAGAGUGCACAAUUGGAAAAAAAGUAAUUAAUGUUACAUUGUAAAUUGAAAAAGGUCAUUAAUUUUGGGACAAAUUAUUUUUACAAAUGGAUCUUUCAUUGUGGGACAAAGGGAGUAUAUUGGUAUUUUAGCUGCUUCCAAACUAUGUAAGGUCUUGUUUGAGAGAUAUUUCAUUUAGGAAAAUUGUUUGCUAAAAAAGUGGGGAAGAAUUGCUUACAGUGUUACUUGUCUCAUACUUGCUUUAGUAUAUCCUGUUUAUGACUUUUUCUUUUCUAUUUUGCUAUGAAGAUAUUAAUUCAAUAUUACAAGGAGCGGCAGUGUUUGUUGAAGUGCGUCAGGUGGAUUCUCAUGCAUGCUAGUAAGUGUCAUGUUGUUUUUAUGUCCACCUGGUACUUGCCCAGUCAAUUCUUUGUAUGGAAGACAUACCUACUUACAUUUCCACUUUCUCUUAGUUGAAUUUUCUUGCUCGUAUUACUUAGACCCAAACAUUUCAUGCAGUAUAUAUUGGUCCUGUGUCUGAAAACAAUUCUGUGAAGGAGAAGGCAAAAAAGCUAUUUUUUGAUGGACUGGAAAGCAAAUUAGUAUCUUCCUUGGAGGGUCUUUUAUCUUGCAGUUACCCCGAGAAAAUGGUAUUUUCAGUUUCCAUGCACCAUCCUUCUUUAAUUUUGCAAUGACCCUAUAAGGCAGGUAGUUACCUUGUGCUCAAUAUGUGAUCCUCAGUCUUUAUAUAACUUAGACGUAACCUUCUCUAUCUAUGAGUGUGCUGUAAUAUUAAUAGCCAAGUCUUAUUGUAUAGCAUUGUCUUGCCACUCUUUUACAUGAUCUUGAUUAGAGUGUUAUUUCUCUCCAAGCUCUGGAUGUUGUACCAGUAGGCUAUCUUGUGCAACAUGUGAAACAUUUAAAAUUGGAAUUUUACUUUGUUUUCAAUUGGUAUGUUCAUGAUAUGAAUUGUAACUGAUUUUUGUUUUGCUCGAUGACUGAAAUUAUUUAAUUGGAAUGCUUGAAGGAUGUUGAUCUUUUUACUCUAUGGGCUGAGGAGACUCUAAUUGAAGACAACUUGGUUUUAGACAUUCUUUUCCUGGCCUAUUAUGACUCAUGUUGUACGUGUGGUAGUGAGAUAUGGAAGAAGUUUGGUUCUAUUUACAAGGUAUACUAGUAUUCGUCUUCUUAUACUUGAUUUAUUUUGUGAUAUUUUCAUAAAUCAAAUCCUUGCUCAAGAUUAUCCUUUGAUUCAGGGGAUCUUAGCUGGUGAAUAUAACUUGGGAAAGCUGGAAAUUACUACAGAAGCACAACAAUUUUCUUAUCAUGUCAAAGUUCAGCUGCUGCUUAUUUUAAUAGAAACCCUAAACUUGGAGAAUCUUCUUCAAAUGGUUCACGAUGAAACACCUUACAGGUUAGACUAGACUCUGUUUACAUCAUAAUUAUGUCAUUUCAUAAUUAUGUCAUCAUAAUUACUUACAGGUUAGACUAGACUCUGUUUACAUCAUAGACUCUUGCCUUAAUUAUGUCAUUUCAUUCAUUUUCCAAGUAGAAAUUUCAAUCGGGAACUUGGGAAGAAAUUGCAUACCUUGUCCUGUUCUGUUCUUCACUGUAAUAUAUUAAACCCUCUCCUUGAUGGCUCAUACUUUUAUUACCUCUUGGGGAUGUAAAUUAUAUCUCCCAAGUCAUUGCUAGAGUUCUUUGAUUUUAAAUAUAAUUCAAUACAUCUAUUUUGGAUAUUUUCAUUUGCCAGCCUUUGAUUUUCGUUGGCUGAAACUGUGGGUUUUAAGACUAAUUAUUCAUUCCCGGUGAUGUUUCUGUGGUCUUCUUAUUAUAGUAGUUCUAUAGGCUGGCAUAAAUUAACUGUUUUGUAUUUUACGUCUAUUUUUGUACAUAAUAUUUAUGUUGCAAAAUAUGUUUGGAUUUCCAAGGAAUGGUGCAUCUACUUUCUCCUUUACUGAUGUCCAAGAGAUGGAUGCACUAGUUUCUACUUUCAGUGCUUCUGAAAUGAAUGAAGCUGGUCCUCUAGUUCUAGCAUGGGCUGUAUUUCUUUAUCUACUCUCGACAUUACCGGGAAAAGAUGGGAACAACAAGCUCAUGGUAUGUGGUUAAGUUAUAUUUGAAAUUUUUAUUUACUACUCAAGCAUAUAUACGUAUUACAAAUUUGACCUAUUUUCUUUUCUCUGCAUCCAGGAGAUUGAUCACAUUGGUUAUGUUCGUCAAGCCUUUGAGGCUGGAUCAUUACAUUAUUGUCUUGAAAUGCUUCAGUGCGAUAUUUUGAAGGAUUAUGAUGUGCGUCAUUCUUUCCUGGGGUAGCAUAAAUUGUUAUAAUAAAUGAGUUUUUGUUAAACUUUGAUUGGGACCUCUCUUUUCUGUUAUGAAGCAUUCAACUUUAUACUAUACUAAAUUGUGUUUAUGGCUUCAUGCUUUUCCCUUGUCCAUUCAGGGCCCAGUGUCAGGUUAUCGAAGUGUUUUGAGGACAUUCAUAUCUGCAUUUAUUGCAUCUUACGAGAUCAGCAUUCAGGUAUGGUUGUAAAAUUUGUAGUUAGCUUUAAUGAAUUUAGUUACUUCUUUCUGAUUUGGUCUGCUUCAACAAAUGUACAGCCAGAGGACAGUAACUCCACUUUGAUACUGGAUAUUAUUUGCAAGAUUUACCGUGGAGAGGUUUGGAUGUUUACUCAUACCCUUCAGUUCACUCAUUGCUCCAGUAUCACAAUAUCUGAUGGUGAUCAUUUUAUUGAUUAAAGGACUCUGCUUAUUUACUUUCAGGAGUCUCUGUGUAUUCAGUUUUGGGACAAGGAAAGUUUUAUUGAUGGUCCAAUUCGGUCUCUUCUUUGCAACCUAGAGAGUGAGUUCCCUUUCAGGACAGUAGAACUUGUUAGACUCCUUUCAUCCCUUUGUGAAGGAUCUUGGCCUGCAGAGUGUGUGUAAGUACAUGAGUAUAAUUCAUGUUUUUUUGUUAUCUCAUAUGUUGGAAUGAGUAUGACACUGCAAUUGGUCUCUCAAAUUCAAAGGAGCAUUUUUUUUCUUCAAUUGUUGGUAGUCUUUCUUAUGGGUGCAGUUUUUCGACAGGUAUACCUUUCUAGAUAGGUCUGUUGGUAUAUCAUCCUUGUUCGAGAUCAGUAGUGAUUUGCCAGCCGACGAUGGCCACCACAUUCUUGAGACACGACAGGCAGUGCAGGUUCCUGGAAUUGAAGGUUUGUUUGUUCCAUCUGGAACUCGUGGGCGUGUCUUGAAAGUUGUUGGAGAGAAAACUGCACUUGUACGAUGGGAGGUGAAUUGUCCAAAUAUUGUUAAUAUGCUUUGAUUUAUUUUUGAGUGCUUACUGUAACCAUAUUGAUGGUCUAUAAUCAUAAAUUUCUUUCACUACCAAUUUUUGGUGGUCUGGAAAUAGAUGACUUAGAUUUUUUGAAACUUUAAAUGUUUUUGCUUAUCCUUGUAUUACUUUGCCGCCUUUUUGCCUUGGGAUUGGUUUGGACUUUGGAAUAACCAUUAACCUGAAAUCCUGCCCAUCACAUCUAGCGAGGCUGGUUCUGAAAGUUCCUAAUAGAAAGAGAUCAAUUUUUAUUGAGUAUUGUAUUGUUCUAAAAUCAAUUUAUCGCUGUUCACCAAAUAUUAUUUUUGGCAUUUGUUUUAUCUUUUUUAUUUUUGAAAAGGUGGUAUUUGUUUUAUUUACAUUUGGUUUCAACUAAAUUACUUGCUUGCCAAUUCCAAAUUAGCAAAAUAUUACUACCUCUGUCCCUGUAUAUAAACCAUCUAGAGAUUUUACUUUGUCCUUUUUUAUAAGAUCCUUUCAAAUUUUCAGCUGCAUUAAUUAUUUACUUACUAAUAUACCCUUAAUUUUGUUACAUCUUUUUCUACCAUCUACAAUAAAUACUAUAAUAAAAACAUAAAUUAAUUCUCUCUCCUAAAGGGUAAGCUUGUAAAUUAACUCAGAUUGUCAACAAAUUUAAUACUAUAAUAACCAACUUUCUUAUACCUGUAUUUUGUCAACGGGUUCCUAUAUAUAGGGACAGAGGUAGUAAAAAUUCACUGUAACUUCUUUGGUGAAGGGUUUGCAAUAAAAAAUAUUAUUCUUUAGUGAUGAUAAAAUAAAUGCCAGCGUGUGUGUUUUCUUCCAUUCUUCUAGAUCUUUAUAGCUGGCAAUUGUAAACUUUGUUUUAUGUUUUAUACUCCUUAUAAAUAUAAUCUCAAUUGCACAAUUCCAUGCUGACAAAAUCUUCAUUUUUCUAGCAUUCCUCAUCUGGAGUAUUUGUGUUGCUCCUACAUUUGGCCCAAGAUAUGUAUUUGAAUAACAAGGAGGAAGUUUUUUUCACUCUUGACCUGCUCAGUAGAUUGGUGUCCUUUAACACUGUAAGUUGGUUAUUUUCAUUGGCCAUUUUUUUCCACUUUGAUUCUAGAAAAGAAUACAGUCAGUGCUUAAAAUUUUCAACUUCUUUCAUGCCUGAUUUAUGGAUGCGUAAUGAACACCUAAAAACAGUCCAGUAUAAUCGUGUUAUGAGAUUAAAUGUGUUGAAUAGUUUUUUAACGAUAAGAUCUGUGCAGCAAUUGUCUUGGUGGAGUAAUUUUUUGUCUACCUAAUUAAUUUGGUCCUUGAUUUCUUUUUUUGACUUAAUUGGACCUUUCUUGUUAUUCUUUGUUGGAUCAGCUUUAGUUACCAUCUUGUUUCUAGACUUUUAGUGCAACUGGUUUUGUUCCCUCAGGUUUUUCGUAAAUUUAUCAAAUUUUCGGAGAAAACUAGAUUGCUAAUAAUCCACGUAUUAUUAGAGAAGUGACACAAUGUUUUCGGUUCAUGGUUAAGUCUUUUGUUUGAGUAUCACGAUGCUCUCGAUAUUUAUCAAGAGUUUGCUUUUAUUAUUGUCUAUAUGUAGGAUCCUGUUAUAGCCUUUUGUCAUUACCAGCCUAACUGAAUCAAGUAUGGACUCUGUUGAAACUCUAAGUUGCUUAGACUCAAAGGAGUUUUCAAGGAAUGUGGCCCAAGCUUUAAAAAAUUCUUGUAUUAUCCUGUAUCAUUACUUUGCCCUUUUUUUUUUUUUGCUUCUUUUCUCACAGAUUUACUUCAUAUGUGCAGGGUGUUUGUUUUGCAUUGACGGACAUUAGCAACUCUCUGCAAUUUCAUGCUAUUGGCCUGACGAAUGAGCAGAUUGAAAAGAAUGUCUGGUAAUUUUUUAUUUUGAAUUAUUGUCCUUGAUUAGUUUUAUUUUUAUAACUUACAUACGUUUUCUCUUCACUUGUUUAGUAUCGGUUAGUUUUACAGUUUACUUUCCCUGCCUUACAGGGUGGUUCAGAUAAUUUGCAAUCUAGUAAAAAACGUGCCUCUGAAUUCCUAUGGAGCUGCACUUAUGUCAAUGGGCAUUAAGAUUUUGGGUAUCAUGUCGAUUUGGUAAUUGAACUUAUUCUUUUAUAGAACAUGAACAAUUUGUGCUAAUGAAGGAUUUGAUCUGUAUUUGUUAUCUGGAAGCUCAAGAGUAAAAAACUUAUAUUUGGAAGCAUUGUUGUAGGCUAUCUCCUUGUUGAAUCUUUAUUUGUUUUGGAAAUAAUUAUGUUGUCAGGAAAAGGUUUACUAAUUUUUUCCCUUUCCUACCCAGUUCUCCAUCUAUUGUUACAGGAGUCACUCUAAAUGCGAAUUUAUUUGAUAUCACUUUGCAGACAGCUGUGUUCAGUGUAAGCAGUAAUGGCUUGUCAAGGUAAACCCUACUUUUAAAAUAGCGUGCAUAUACAAAUAGGCUAGGCACCGUAUCAUCAUCACGAAAUUGACUCUGAAUUGUUGCUUAUGUAAAAAGAAAGGGGUGGCUAUUGAAUCGAGAUUCAAAUCGUUUAUUAAAAUGCAUAUUUUCCGAAUUGUGAAUCACAUCUUAUUAUGAUCCAUAAGAUACACAUCAAUAAAAUAAUGACAUCUUUUAAGUAUAAACAAGUGACAUGCAAAAACCAUAAGACUCAAAGUUCAUGCUACAAUUUUGUCCACAAUAAUUCGUAUUGAUUGAGUUUAGUUUAGUUUUGAAUUGAGAUACAGUUCAUGUCUCGUAAGAUACUGUUGGAAAUUCCGCCUUCAUUGCGGUCUGCUCCUAGUCACCUAAUUGCGGCAUUUGGGUUGCCCUCGUUGAAGCCUGCGAUACCUUCAUUGUGUUGGGUGUGAAGGGGUUCAUUUAGCCCCACAUUGUCUGGAGAUAUGGCCUGUGUAGUGUUUAUAAACCUUGGGCAAUCCUCAAUUUACAAGUCUGUUUUCUGGGGUUGUGUUAGGCCCAACUCAAAUUCUAAGAGAUACUUCACUUUACAAACCUAUUUUAUGGAGUUGUGUUAGGCCCAACUCAAAUUCUAAGAGAUACUGUUAACCAUGGUUAUUUUAAUCCUUUUGUCAUCUAUUUUUUUACUUCACAUUUGCUUAAGCGUUUUUUCUGAUGUUCGUGUACUCUCACAAUUGCUUCUAGAUGCUUGUGUAAUUUAUAGAAUAGAAGUUACAUCUCCCUGUCAUUCUGUCUGUUUUCAGUGGGUCAUGGAUGCUUUCUGGCAGACUGGCCAGAAUGCUUUUAAUUGACUGUGAGCAAAACAGUAACGACUACCCCUUGGCAAUAUCAGGUGUGGCUAACAUGACCUUUCAUGAAUUUUAUUGUGCCUAUGGGAGUUAUUUGAUUGUGAUUGUUUGUGUCUCUUGCAUUCUUGAGUUUAUCUUUGAAAGUUUUUCCCCCCAAUUUUUUGUGUUGAUUUUGUUCUAUUAUUAUUAUUAUUAUUAUUAUUAUUAUUAUUAUUAUUAUUAUUAUUGUUGUUGUUGUUGUUGUUGUUGUUGUUGUUGUUGAAGUUGUUGGGUUUUAGAGAAAAGGAGGAGACAAAAUAAUAAGAGUUUGAAUAUUAUUGAUAAUAGUUUUAUGCUAACUUGAUUUCAAAAGACUCAAUACUAAUAUCUAUUUAUAGAGAAACAUAGACUAAAUCCUAAAUCAGGAACAAAUUAUAAUAAUAAUGAGAUAUAUUAAAAGAUAUCUCUAUGAUUAUAAAUUGAUUAUAGGAAAUAACUCAAGAUAUUUUCUAAUAUUCUAACACUCUCCCUCAAGCUAAAGCUUACUAAGCUUUAGCUUGUUACAAGAAAACAAUGUUUUGCUCCGCAAAAUAAUAAAAAAGGAUGAAAAGGCAACUCAGGGAUGCAAGUGAAGUAGAAGAGAAUUGGUAUAAAUAUAGUCUAGCCAGAUAGCUAGAAUAAUCAUCAAUAUGAGAGAAAUUAAUGGCAAGCAAAUGAACAAAGCAAAGUCCGUUCUUCUAAAAACAGCAUUUGGAAGCUUCAAACUAAUAAUAUCGGAGAUCCAAAAUAUUUAAACUUGAAUCUGCUUCAGGAGAGAGAAGCGAGACCAGUACAUCUGAGACAAAGAUGGGACCAGUGCAUGUGGGACAAAUUGUCAAGCUAAAGUGAAUCAUGAAAAUAAAAGACAUCGUCAAAAUAACCAUCAACGGAAGAAGUUAUCACUAAUAUGAUUCAUAUGUGCGAAAUGGUGGGAAUAAAAACCACUAUGAUAAUCUAUUAGUAAGAACUAAAUUGCAUGACAAACAUCGAAGAAGUAGCGCGACUCUAACGAAAUAAAGCUAUGAUCGAUCAACAGAGUAAGAAAAUGCAUCCAAAACAGGAGAGGUAAUGGCUGUUUGAACAAGAAUGCAUAUUUCUGUUGAUCAAAAUUGGAAAGUAAGGGAAAAUAUGAAACCGUGAGGACCGAGAUAUACCGACCAAGCAGUAAUCAGAGCAACGUUGGGACGUGCUGUCACGCGCUGUGGAGACGUCAUCGUGUGAGAUCUAGUCGCAAGAAAUAGUAGCAACGCGUGAGAGUGCGUUGGCGGCUUUUGGCAACACGUUUUCAUUGUGGGCCGAUCUAGAUAGAACGAACCUGAUGGAGAGAUUGUUCUAUGGAAAAGCUGUCGGAAACAAGGGUGACGACGGUGGCAGCAGCGGACCUGGACGGAAAAUGUUGAAACGAGUGCCGAAAAGGGUUGACAAAAACAAAUAACGGUUGUUUAGGAGGCUCACUGAAAAGAGCUGGAAAAGUAUGAAAACUCACAAACAGAUCACAUCGAAAAGGAGAAAACUGUGAUUACAUUCUCAAACUUUUGGGAACUCAGAGCAGAAUAGUGGCGAGACAGCUCAAGGAGGAUCAAAAUAGACUCUAGAUACCAUGUUGAAAUUGUGGGAUUUUAGAGAAAACGAGGGGAGAAAAAGUAAGGGUUUGAAUAUUAUUGAUAACAACUUUAUGCUAACUUGAUUAUAAAAGACUCAAUAUUAAUAUCUAUUUAUAGAGAAACACACACUCAAUCCUAAAUCAGGAACAAAUCAUAAUAAUAAUGAGAGAUAUUUCUAUGAUUAUAAAUUGAUACUAGGAAAUAAUUUAAGAUACUCUAAUAUAAUAUAAAAAGAUUAUAAAAUAUUUUUUAAUAUUUUAACAAUUAUUAUUAUUAUUAGAGAUAAAAGUUAGAAUGGGAUAAUUAACCCCCACUUGUGAAAUUCUGUAAGAUAAAACAAUUUCAGUUCUAACUAACUUACCUUCUAGCUUCUAGAAGGUUCUGUUAGGAUUAGUUAGUUCAAGUCAGUUAGGAAUUGUUAGAUUCUGUUACGUUGGUCUCUAACUAUAAAUAUAAAUAGAGAUCACCCUCUUGUAAUCAACAACUUGUCAAUCAAUGAAUAUUCAGUUACAGAAUUUUCUCAACCUUUCUCUCAAUUUUCUUUCACUUUCUCUCGAUAUGAAUCUUAACAUGGUAUCUUAGAGCUUGUUCUUUGAUCCUGUGCCUAUCAAUGGCUUCCUCAAAUCCUUUUCUUGGUUCCUCAGGAACCUUCCGUGCAUCCAUGUCAAAUUUUCUUAUCUCAUCUUUGUAAAACUUGAUGACAAGAACUUCAAACAAUGGAAACAGCAGAUUGAUGGUGUUAUUUGUGGCCACAUGCUUCAGAAAUUCAUCACACAACCUGUAGCUCCUCCGCGUUUCGUCACGGAAAUAGAUCACACAGCAAAUCAUAUCAACCCUCUCUACCUUGAAUGGAAACAGAUUGCACCUGGAUUCUCUCAACAAUCUCUGAUUCACUUAUGACGAAGUUUGUUGAUUGUCACUAUUCUUGGCAAGCUUGGGAAGAGAUCCAUCAUCACUUUCAUACUAUACAUACCACCAAAGCAUGUCAAAUUCGCUCUGAGUUGUGAAGUCUCACCAAAGGAGAUCGCAAGAUUGAAGAGUUCAUUCUCCGUGUUAACACUAUCAACAAGUCCCUAAUCUCAAAUGGAGAUCCAGUCCUGCAUUGCAACCUCAUUGAAAUCAUUCUCGAAGCUUUACCUGAGGACUAUGACUCCGUUGUCGCCGUCGUCACAAGCAAAAAAGAGUCGUGCUCCCUGGACAAACUGGAGUCAUUGGUGCUCGCACAUGAGACGCGAAUUGAGAAGAACAAGAAACCUUCAGAAGGCGCGACUGUUAGUCUCACUCAAGCUCCCUCUCAAGCGUCCUUUGUGAAGUCCACCACAGAUGGCUGUCGCAACAACCACCGAACCCUAACUUUCCACCUGAAACAAGUCACGUACAUGCAAACACUUUGGACUAUCAAAGUUAUGGAUCCCAUGGUGGUUGUAACAGCCGUGGUGGUGGCCGAUUUGGUCGUGGCGGCUGUGUCCAAUGCCAAAUUUGUUGCAAAGCAGGGAACAGUGCAUUCAUUUGUUACUGAUCAGUGUUUCUCUGUCAAUGUCAAUGAUAUAAAUAAUACUAGAAAUUUAAAUUCUGUUACUACUCCUAUUUCACGUUCUGCUUAUCAACUAUGGCAUACACGACUCGGGCAUCCUCAUCAUGAAUUUUAAAAGCAGCACUGAGACUGUGUAACAUUCCUGUGCCAUCAAGAGUCCCUACUGAUUUUUGCUCUGCCUGUUGUUUGGGGAAGGCACAUCGCCUUUCAGCUCCUCACUCCACCACUAUUUACAACAAUCCAUUUGAAUUAGUGAUGUGUGAUCUAUGGGGCCCUGCACUAGUUAAGUCCUCUGGUGGUUAUAUGUAUUUUUUCAUUUGUGUAAUUGCUCGCUUUAGGUUUGUAUGGGUCUAUCCUUUAAAGCUGAAAUCUGAAGUGGUGCGUUUCGUCCUGUCAUACAAUUCAAAGCCAUGGUAGAACUCCAAUUCAGUUGUAAAAUUAAAGCUGUGCAAUGUGAUGGAGUGGUGCGUUUCGUCCUGUCAUCAUAGACCUUGCUGAUCUAGGGAUUUUGCACAAGUUCACUAGUCCACACACCCAUAGUAGACACUGGUUAACACUGUUGGCACAAGUAGGUAUACCACUUAAUUUCUGGGACCAUGCUUUCAUUACUGCCGCGUUCCUUAUUAAUCGUCUACCAACACCCAUUCUCAACAAUGUCUCCCCUUAUUAUCUUAUCUUCCAUAAACAACCCAACUAUAAAGAUUUAAAAAGUGUUUGGGUGUGCAUGUUUUCCAUCCUUAAGACCAUACAAGGGAUACAAAUGUCUCAGUCCUGAUGGUAGAGUUUAUAUCCAAGGAUGUGUUAUUCAAUGAGUGUAGGUUUCCAUAAUCUGAAAUUUGUCCCACAAAUUCUUCAUCAACAGUAACACCCACACCACCAACAUGUUUACCUUUACAAACUAGCCAAUACCUCCCUCCUGGUCGUGAAUCCGCUAUCAUCGUGACCCGCUAUAUCACUCAUCCUGCUAUUGGACCCGCUCUAGGUCAUUAAGGGUAUCUAGGUGAUACUUAAUAUUUUAUUUUUUGAUUCUUCGUUACAGGUAUCUAGGUCAUUUAACACCCACUUAAGCCCUAAUUUUUUAUUAUUAUCAACUCACAAAGGAGUUGGUUCAGCAUUGUGAAAAAAAGCCGUUUUCGUUUUUGUUCUUUUCUUGCUCCGUUCAGCAUUGUUUUGUUCCGUUCUUGGCAUAAUUGUCCUAACUUAAAUGUCACAGCAUGACUAACUCAUAGUUAUCUACUAGCUAUGCUGUCAAUCCAGGUGCGAUCCUGCGCAAUUCCGAUGCGGUGGAGGAUUGACCGUGACACCGCCGACUGGGAAAACGCAUUUGCUGGUAGUGGCGCUCCCAGCCGCAAAUCCCACUAUCAUUGUGACCUGCUAUCCCAGCCCGACCCGCUAUUAGACCUGCUCAAGGAUUUUUUCAAAAACACAAAUUAUUAUUUUUUUAAUUUUUAUUCUUCAUUAAGGAAAUCUAGGUCAUUCCGCACCCACUUAAACCUUAAUUUUUUGUUAUUAUAAAUCCAUAAAGAGGUUGGUUCAACAUCGUGAAAAAGAAACCAUUUUUGUUCUUCCUCGGUCAUUUUCGUUCUUUUCUUGCUCCGUUCAACAUCAUUUUAUUCCGUUUUUGCUCUGUUCAACAUCGUUAUGUUCUUGCUCUGUUGUUUUCGUUAUUUUUGUGACUCUGUUUUGUCUGCUUUGUUCUCUAUUUUGUUGAUUAAGAUUACUAUUAGAACUUGAUUUUGAUGUUGGAUUUUGGUUAUUAAGUAUGGUUACCCAUUUAAUUGUGUAUUUGCUAUUUUUUUAGUAUUUUGUAUAUUGUUUGUAUUUUAUCUUUAGUUUAUAUAUUGUGUUUUGGCCUUCGCAAUACUGUUAUUUGGUUCGCAUUUGGGAAAUUCUGUGUUAUUUUAUAUCCAUUUUUUCCUUGGUCUUAUCUUCUGAUCUGAAUCUUGCAGUGCUAGACUUCACCAUACGGCUUGUGGAAACAGGAGUAGAGAAUGAUGUUCUCUUGGCCUUGAUCAUUUUCUCUUUUCAAUAUGUACUGGUUAAUCAUGAGUAUUGGAAAUACAGGAUAAAGCAUAUUAGAUUUAAAAUAACAUUGAAGGUAAGUCCUGCUUCUCUUUUGAAGUUACUCAAUUUUAUAUUGUUUUGAUUAUUCUUUAGUGAAGUACUUCUAAGAUUGUGAAUGACUGUGGCGACGACAACUUUUCUGUUACUUGUUCUCCUAUUAUCAGUGUACUGAAUUGAACCAUCAGUAAUACAUUAUUUCAUUUCUCCACAACAGUUUUGUGGUUUCAUGUUUAUUUUCUUUCAUUACAAUUAGUAUUGGCUGUGGGGCUGUUUAAAUGCUCUGUUCUGGGUGAUUUGUAUAUGCACCUUCCAUGUGGAACUUUUUAUGAAUGCCUCAUUUUUGUUGAAUUGGGCCAAACUGUUUCUACUUUGUAACAGUCCUUUUAGCAUAUUUGUUGAUUGGGAAAAGACUGGUUUUGUAUGUUUGAUUUUCACUGGUUAUCUUUCUCUUAUGGUCAAUUGAAAAUACAAGAUUAUAUAAUUUGCAAUGUGCAUUAUCUGAUAUGGCUUUUACUUCUUUUAAAAGACAUUUCCUUGAUAAUAAAUCAUGUGAAUUAGUUUUUGUGCUUUGAAGAUUAACUCAGCCGACUCUACUUCAUUGUAGGUUUUAUACAUUUAUUCUAUUCUGAUUAUUUCAAUCUUUUGGGAUACUGCUGCAGGUUCUUGAGUUGAUGAAAAAAUGCAUUGUAUCAAUGCCUUAUUGUGGAAAAUUGGGUGAGAUCAUACAAAAUGUGUUGUUUUCUGAUUCUUCCAUCCACAACACACUUCUCCGAAUUGCUUGCACUACUGCACAUGAUUUGGAGGUGACAUAAGUUGAAGCCUUUUUUUUUGUUUAAUUUUAUUGUAAUUUUGUUGGAGAAUUUGUUAUUAUUUUCUAUUUUCAUAGUUCAGUUUUUCUGUUUUAUGAUAUGAUAUGUUUUGUUUUUUGUUUCCCUAAUACCUCUCCUUAAUUCAAGGAAGAGAAUUUCUUGUAUUAUCUCUAUUUAAACCAGCUGAGACUGAAGAAUAAUGCAUAAUAGCAUUCCACUACUUUUCUCUAAUUUUUUCUACAUUUGUAUUUUCUUAUUCCUCCAUCUUAUUGACAAAAUGAUUUCUUUUUUUAACAGAAAUUGCAUGUUAGCCGCUUCUUUGAUCCAAUGGAAAUUGAAGGGUUGCAACUUGCUAUAGGUUCUGCUUUAAAUAUUCUUUCAGACAUGACCGCCAAACUUUCUAAGGUACAAAGGAAAACCCCCAAUGUUCUAUCCAGAAUGAACAUUAUUAAUUUGAAUGAUUUUCGGUCACAUUUAAUUACAGAAUUAUAUGUGAUGGCAAUGAAUUGAAGUGUCAUACUUAUUCUUUUGUUAAGCAUUUUGGAAGUUUCAAGCAUUUUAUUGAUUACUUUUGUACUAAAAAUCAAUAAUUUAAUCUGUUUUCUAUUAUUAUUAACUUCCUGUAUCUGAAAAUCAUUCUGUGUUGUCCAGGAUACACCGUCCAGUAUUCCUGUUUUUCUCCAGGCAGUGUUCUCAUGCACAACCAAACCAGUUCCUGUUGUCACUUCUGCUAUAUCAUUGAUUUCAUACUUCCGAGAUCCUGUAUGACCUCCAACUAUUCUCAAAAUUAAGUAUCAUUACAUUUUUCUGAAUCUUUUCAAAUGAUUGUUUUUAUAUAGCUACUUGCUCUUAACAACAUUCUUGCAGUGGUGGUAAACGAGUUUUUAUUCAACAAUACCGAACAUCUUCCUUUUGUUCGCUUUCUUUUUUCCCAUCAAUCUCUGUGGUUUAUGAACACUUCAGUGCACAAUACUUCAUUAAACCUGUGUUAAAUAUUGAUAUUAAUGGAAUUGCAUUGAUGAUAUUGGUCACAUUUUCCAGGUUUUCUCUAGAUUGUAUAGUUACACUUGGAUUGUCAAUUUGUCAUCUCUCUUUUUCAUGUUGUGUUGCCUUACUUUUUUCAUGCUUGCUUACAGAGUUCCUUCAUCACAUACACAUAUUUUUGUGCAUUUGAUGUCAUAAUGUAGUGGGCUCUACUUUUACUUUGUUGGUAGAUUGCUUUUACUUACUACGCCUCCCUUUCAGGAAGUGUAUGAUUUUCCAUUGCAUUGUUUGACAACAGAUGUGUUGCUUAUGCAGAUCAUCCAAUUUGGUGCUGUGAGGUUUAUGUCAACGUUAUUUGCCACAAUAGAUUGCGUCCAACCAUUUUCAUCUGAAACCACAUACUUUGCUCCAGAUAAUCAGGAGGUCUGGGGUGUUGGUUUCAAUUUCUUCAACUUCAUAGUUCUUUUGGUUUACUAACUAAAUUUAACUGAUGGUUUUUCUAAUUGGUUUUAGAUCAUAAAUUUGAGGCACUCUAUGAGCUACAUCCUGCAGGAGAAAUCAAAAUCUAAUGAAGAUCUCUUUGUUGCAACCGUUAAUCUUCUUACUUCUGCAGCACAUUACCAGGUUGAAAUCAUAUAUAGUGAAUUUAUGAUUUGUGUGGAAGUUAGAAGUUUACUUGCAGUGAUAUCAUUUUUGGUUGUCUUGUAUUGCCAAUAAUUUUUUUUGUAAAUGCUAAUAUCAGUCAGUUAGACUUUUAGUAGCACAAAAUUCUCAAAUUUCUUUUACCAUGGGAUUUGGGAGUUAGAAGUUUACUUGGGAUUUGGGAAGAAAAGGGAAGGGGAGGGAGGGGAAGGAAAGGAAAGGAAGGGAGGAUAGAGGAUAGAUUCUAUUCUUUUUUGAAAGUCAGAAACCUACCAACUUGGGGGAACUUACAAAAACAAGUAAAUAAGUGUUUUGGAGGGUUUUAAAGAAUUUCCCAAUGCCUUUCCUACUUUUUAUAAAAAUUGUCAAACAAAGGAGAGGCUAACAGUAAGUCUCACCCUUCUCUAUCUUCCCCACCAAAACCCUUCCCAAACUAAGGCUUAGGCAUAAAGUGUGGACACUGGACAUGGUGUUCGUUGGAACUAAAUUCUCUUGUGUAUAAUACGUUAAUAGCAUGAUGGAUGUCUUAUGAUGCAUGUAAUAGUAAUACAAAAGACAGAGCAAUGAUCCCUAAAUCUUUUACUAAAUUCUUUAUCCUGUUUAGACAGAGAAACAGGUCUUGUAAAUAUGGCAAUCAUCCCUUUUUCACUGUGCUCAGAUGUGUUAAAUUAUCAGUUUCUUAUUCAACAUUCGUUUUUGCAGCCUUCUUUUAUUGUUGCUAUCUUGGCUCCAGGAGAGAACAAUGAGAACCACUCAAGUAUUGGUGAUGCAAAGCUGCAAAGAAAUGAAACUUCUGUGGUACCACUAGUUUCUAGAGGAUCAAGUCUAGUAGAUGCACUUAUAAGCUAUAUUGAAUGCGCAGAUGAUCUGAUCAAAAGGUACAAUAAGGAGGGUUUUGGUGUGGGGGAAGAGGAAGGGGGUUGUUCGUCUGUUUUUUUGCUUCGAUUUCUAUCCUUAUUGCUUAUUCUUUUUGUGAUCAGCUUGCUUUUUAUACAUUUCUUUUUAAUAAGUCUUCAUACUGUUUUUUUCUUUUUAUCUCCAGUAAGCCGCGCCUACUUCUUUGUGUGCUUAACUUCAUGACUGCCUUAUGGCAAGGGGCACCACAGUAUGCAAAUCUCCUGGAGUCUAUAAGAAGCUGUGAAAAUUUCUGGAAGAUCUUGGCCAGUACAAUCACAAAUGCUCCUAGCCGUGAAACUCCUCUACUUGAGAGUCUGAAAGAAAAAGAUGCACUCAAUCUCGCAUACAGUUUCCGUUGUCAAUCAGCCAUACUAGGAAUUAUGGCAUAUGAAUUAUUCUUGCAGAAAAAGUUGUUGCAUGCAGAGUCACUUGGGAAGAAUAAAGCUGAGUCCAAGGACAAGGAGCAAAAUGCCACAAAAACUGAAAAAUCUAAAGCUAAAGAUUUUCACAAUCUUAAGGGAAUUUGGUCAUCAUGGUUUAAAGACUCAGUUUUAGAGAAGCUAAUAAAAACAUAUGCAUCUUGUGGACAUAAUAAUGAUGUAUAUGAUGGUGCAAAGGUUAGCUUGAUAUCAUUUUCAUUGUUUAUUUAGCAGUUGUAGUAGUCUUUUGCUAUGAUAGGGUUAAUUUUAUAGCAAUUGUAUUUCAUUUUCAAUUCUUGCACUGUACUGUAUCAUAGUUUUGUUAUAUAGUUCAAUAUAUAUUUCAUUCUCGACUUGUGUGAGUGCUUACUUGUGUGCUUACUAUAAUCUUAUUGUUGAGUGCUUACUUCUGUGAGAGUUAAGAAAAAGGAUGGUUUUUCCAAAUAUACUUGAGUGAAUUAACGCCCAACAGAAUGUUUAAUUUAUAUACACAUAUUACAAAGAGUAAUAAUACAAUUUAGAGAGAUGGGUGAUUAAAAUAUUUCUAUUUCCUAAAAUGUAUCGAACCUAUUCUUCUUGCUGUACAGAAUCUAAAGUACUUGAAAGUGGAUCGUUAACAUUGUUCUAUUUCCAACAUCGCCUUUUGUAUAAUACAGAUCCAAAUAUUAUUAUUUUUUUAAUUUGUGUUUAUUAUAUGUGACUAAAUUAUAGAUUUGCAUUAUGAACUUGUAAUGUUUAUUUUAAUGUCAAGUGCGUGAAAUUUUUCAGGUUGCCACCAGUUUAUUCUGUGUUCAUGUUAUGUUAAAAUUAGCAGUUAAUGACUCUGGAAGUUUGUCUGUGUCAUUGCUUCAGAAGAUUCAAGGAAUUUUUUCGAAGGUCCAACAUCUAUACUAUUUUCAUCUAUGAAUGUAAUCUAUUCUGUUUAGUUUGGUAACAUGAUAAAUGGUAUUAAUCUUAAUAUGAUACAAAUCUUUAUUAAUAUAUUAGGCUUCAAAACAGUUAAAAUUUCAAACUUUUGACUAUUUUGUCAACAUUUUCUAACACAGUGUUUCUUGUUUGCAGCUGACAAUUCAUCCCGCUUUCUCUGAAUUGCUAUCUCAGUAUUCACAACGUGGCUACAGGUUACUAGACUUUUUAGGUUCUAGCUUUUAUAUAGAGGUUUUCUAUAUAAUCAUGCAUGCCUUUUUCUUGGAUAUUCCAUUAACGUUAAAACACCCUUUUGGCUCAGAUUUUGCUAUGAUUGUAUCUUAAAGAAUUGGAUUACUGAGAAUCUAGUAAAGUAAUUUUUUAUGAAUUUUUAGUGGUAUUGAACUUUUGAGUAAAAAAUCACGACCUUUUCCACUUUAUGUAUUGAAUUUAUGUUGUCAUUAAAACAGAUUUAUAUUUUCUAUUAUUUUGUAUAUCAAUCAUAAUAUGGUUGUUAUUCUUAUUUUGUGCAGUGAGGGGAAGCAACUAAAUAAAUUGAUCCUUAAUGACCUUUAUUAUCACUUACAAGGAGAGCUUGAAGGGAGAAAAAUUGGUAUCGGACCCUUCAAAGAAUUAUCUCAGUAUCUUGUUGAAUCAAAUUUUUUGGGAUCCUAUCAACGCCACUUCAAUGAAGAUUUUUUUGCAAAGAAUGUGUACUUGUUUGACCUUACACAGUUGCGAGCAGAUUUGAACUUAGAUGCUUGGGGUUGUUCUGAGUGGAGAACAUCCAAGGAAAUUGCAGAAACCAUGUUGCGUAGCCUGCAGGAUGCAAACGCAGUUAUGUUGCUAUCAAGUUCAAAGCUUUCUGCAUUAAAAGAAUUGAUAGCUGUGAUGGCUGUCUAUCAUGAUGAUGUGAGAAUCUAAAAUCUUGAUUUCCUUAUUGCAUUUUCCAAAUUGAUCAAUAGAACUAGAAAGGUAUAAAUGUUGAAUUGUCUGUGUGCUAGCUAGGGCUGAGCAAAAAUGUUUCACCCGCCCGAAACCCGUGCAGUUCGGGUUUAACAGGUGAAUGGGUUGUCUUUUUCAGUUCCAUAUGGACAUUAAUGGGCGGGUGCGGGUGGUUAAAAUUCAACCCAUCUAGACCCAAUCCCGACCGAACAACUAACAGUUAGUAUUACUGGUGUUAUUAUAGCAGUUUAUGAAAAGGCAGCCUACAAAACCUAUUUUGCUACAUGUCAUCGUGUCAAUGAAUCAAUCAUUCAUUAUGACCCACAAAAGCAACUUUAUCAAUUAAACACUGCCACUCACAGACCUAGUAUUAAUUCUAAGAAAACACGUCCAAGUGCAACUUCCAAUAAUCUCAGUACUAACGUAUGCCAACUAAUUUUUUAUUAUAUUUAGUAAAUAAAAAACAACCCCUUGUGGCUUUACUUUAAAUCUUCUUUGUGACUUUGAGUCUUGCAGAGGCUUAGAUCUCCUCUCAUUUCCUUCUGCGAAAACUCCUCCAAAAUAUUCCCGACAAUUUUCUUCUUCUUUAAUGAAGCACCAAAAGAUCUACCUUACCAGACUAAAUCCUGCUCGAGCUAUCAUUCAUUCAAACUAUCCGCAACCCAACUAAACCGCACAAGUAAGCGGUAGAAGAUGGUUGGUUUGUUACCUUCAUCUGUUAUGAUCGGUUUUGACUUUUUUGGUUCAAAACCAACCGAUGCUCUGGCCUAGUGCUUUCUCAGCUGUCCAAUACUGUUUCCACAUGAUCAUAAAUUUGAGCCCUGCAGCAGUGCAGUUGGUUUCUGCUUGAUUAUUAAAUGUGGAAAGUGGAUCCUGCUUUACCAUGAACCAUUAGUUAAGGAUUCUAAACUAUUUUUUUGUAUCUUACUAUGAUUGAAAAAUGUCAAGGGAUGAUUAGAAAUAUUUUUUGGUAAUUUCUAUCUUAAAGUAUUGAGUGAAAACUGAAAAGGUGUUUAAACAUUGAUGUUCCAGUUUUAUUGUACUUUCAUUGGUUUCUUAAAUAACUGAAACUUUCUUGUUUAGUUUGAUUACUCUUGAUAACUUUCUUCUUCCUGCCCUUUGGUGGUAGCUUAUAUCUGUUCAAUAUUCAUUUUGCACAUAAUCUUGCAGUCAAAAGGGAGAGCUGCUACUGGAGAGAGAAUCCCAAAUGAACUCAUAUUCACUUGUAUAGAUAAUAUAUGCCAAUCUUUCCUUGCUACCAUUGAGAUGUUAUCACCAGUUCUAGAUGUUUCCGAGGAUAUGCUCAAUAUUCUUGCAUGCCAAAUUGAAUUACUCCUCCUGUUGACCAGAACUAUUUGCAAAUGCUUAUCCGUACACAUAUCACUUCUUGUGAUGAAAUGUGCAAGCUCAGGUCUAAAACUGUUGAGUGAACUCAAGCUGUUACCUUCCAAAGCCAAUCUGAUCAUGAAAUUAUUACUCACAUUGCUGCUUUUGGUACUUCAGUCCAACUCCCUCAAUUUGCAUUUUAAUGCGGCAGCAGACGAAGGUUCUGGCAAGGAUUUCUCAAAGGUUUCUAAUGCAACCCUUGGCUUGCUACCUAUUCUUUGCAACUGCACUGUGACUUCUGAGCAUGGCAUGCUCUCCCUGUCGGUCAUGGACCUGAUACUUGGAAGCUUCUUGAUGCCGAGGACGUGGUUACCUGUUCUGCAGAAUCAUCUCCAAAUGCAGUUUGUUAUGCUAAAACUCCAAGAUAAAAAUUAUUCUUCCAUUCCAAUUAUAAUGAAGUUCUUUUUGACCAUUGCCCGGACUAGAGGGGGCGCUGAGAUGCUUUAUUGUGCUGGCUUCUUGUCAUCUUUGAGGGUGUUGUUUGCUCAGUCUGGUGAGGCUUUCUCCAGAACUAGUAGUGAGAAUCUGAGCAGCACAUGUGAAAAUUUGGAAAUACCUCAAGACAUUUGGGGACUUGGACUAGCUGUGGUUACUGCUAUGGUUCAGUCCUUGGGAGACAGUUCUUCUGGUACUGCUAUAGUGGAAAGCAUGAUGCCUUACCUUUUUUCAGAGAAAGCUCAUCUUAUUCUCAAUUCUCUAGAUGCCCCAGACUUCUCUUCUGAGGAUCAUGACAAGAAAAGACCUCGGGCACAUAGGCCAUGUGUUUCUUUUGCUAUUCUAAAAGAAACAGAACAUACUUUGAUGCUCAUGUGUGAGUUAGCAAAACACUGGCGUUCAUGGAUUAAAGCAAUAAAUAAUGUGGAUAAGCAGCUUAGAGAGAAGUGCAUUCAUCUUUUAGCCUUCAUUAGCCGGGGAACACAACGCAUUGGUGAGUCUUCAAUUAGGAGUCCUCCUCUUCUGUGCCCACCUACUGUUAAAGAGGAUUUUGAAUUUUGCUCAAAGCCAUCGUAUAUCAAUAGCAGAAAUGGUUGGUUUGCUCUUUCACCACCUGGAUGUGUGCCAAAACCGAAGAUCUCUUCCUUGUCAACUGCAUUAUCUAUCUAUGGUCAAGCAGCUGAGACUACUGGUCCUGUUCCUAAAACAUGCUUCUCUGACACUGUUGCUGUACAGGUAUAUAGAAUUACAUUUCUUCUUUUAAAGUUUCUGUGUUUGCAAGCUGAGGGUGCUGCUAAAAAGGCUGAGGAGGUUGGCUUUGUUGAUCUUGCACAUUUUCCUGAGCUUCCAAUGCCAGAAAUUCUGCAUGGCCUGCAGGUAAAGUGAACUUCACAAAUCACAUGUGUAUGCUGUUUUAAUUUUUGUAAUAUGCUUUAAUAUAGAGAAUUGCAAUGUGUUGUCAAUGGUUGGAUUGUGCCAGUGUGCUUGAGCCUUGCUUUACACAAUUAAUCAUUAACAGUCAGCUUCCGAAAAGCAAAUGAUUGGAUGUAUAUCUGAGCGUGACUUUUUUUUGGUGAAGGAUCAAGCAAUUGUCAUUAUUGCGGAGCUCUGUCAAGCUAACAAACUGACAGAAUCUCUGGAAAUAAAGAAUGUUUGCAACAUAUUGUUGCAAAUACUUGAAAUGGCUUUGCACUUGGAACUUUGUGUCCUACAAAUUUGUGCCAUAAGACCUGUCUUAGGGCGUGUUGAGGACUUCUCAAAGGAAGCCAAAUCUUUAUUUAGUGGUAAUAUUAUUCUUCGUCCUUCUUUAGCACCUGUGUUUGAUUUGUUUGCCUUCUUGUUUUAAAAAAGUUAUGUCCUUUGAUUUAGUUUUUUUAUUCUGUCCUUUGAGGUAGUUUUGAAUAUUUAUUUGAUUCCUUGUACAGCGUUGGAGGGUCAUGCCUUUCUGAAAGCAUCUAGCAAAUCUUUAAAACAGAUGAUAUCAUGUAUCUAUCCUGGAUUGUUGCAAGCAGAGAGUUUGAUAUGAGAUUUGCCGUGGAUGAAAGAGAAGAUUGUUUAAUUAAUUGUACAGAAUUUCAUAGGGUCACUUAGUGAGCUUUCUUCUUACACUCUUUAUCGCUAGAUAUUCCAAGUUGAUAUAUAUAUAAAUGUAGCUUUGCUAGUAAAGGGCUUUCAUGCAAUCGUAGUUUACUUGCCAGGUUGCAAAUCACAUCCCGAAGUUGUAUUUAUAUAUAAUGUAACGUAAUACAUAAUAUAAAAGUAAAUAUUUUGUUUUUCUCCUCUACUAGAGUUAUGAAUGAUCUGACAGAACUAUAAUUCUGCAUUAUUUUUUAUUAAUAAGAAUAGCUUAAAAUACUGUAUAGUAUACACACAUUUCUCAAAUAUUGGGUACUUAACUGACAAGUUCCGUCGUUACUUAGGAGUGUAGGGAUGGUGAUUAAUGAUUAUGACAAAACUCGUUCAUUAGUCAUUACUAGGCAUACAACGUUCAUUCGGCACAAUUCUUUCCUUCUCGACCAAUAUGAAAUAAAUACAUUUGGAAAAAACUAGAUUAUCAUAUGUCCAAUGCUUGUUUGGGUUCCUUCAAUCUUAGCCAUAUUUUUAAUAAUCAAUGUAGGGCCAUAAUCCUUUGCUUUCAUUUUCUUUUGAUAAUAUUUUGCUUUCCUUAUUUAUUUCUUAGUAGAGUGCUUUUUAUCUAAUAUACGAUAUUUCCUUGACAUAGUUGAUACGACAUGUCUCGUUCGUGCAUUUAUGUCGUUAUAGAAAUCCAAUUUAUAAUUAAAUAAAAAAAUCUAAGUUCCCUUCUCCUCGCCAGGUUCCCGACCUGACAUACCAAUUUUGAAGAAUCGACACCGUUGAGUGUUGUCCAAUCAAGAUGGUCCCUCAAGAGAUUAAUUGUUGUCCACAUUCACUUGGCAGCAUAUGCACUUCAGACUUUCUCACAUCGAGUAAUUCUCACGCAAGAUAAAUAUGUGGCGAGGGCUUCCCUAGACCGACACAAGAUAUGAAUCUAUGACUUGUAUAUGUACGGGUAUUUUAUAAAAUAUUUUAAAAAAUCAAAAUACGGGUAUGAAUUUUUAAUAUAAUUUAACUAAUAUAAUUCAAUUAUUCAAUUUAUAAUAUAAAAUAAUAAUAAAAAUUUAAAAAACCAUAAAUUAUAUUCAUAACAAAAUAUACAAAUAAUAAUAUAUUAAAAAAAUUAUUAAUUUUACUCUUAAUGAAAUAAUAAAAGAAAAAAGUGUUCAAUAGUACUGUAUGAAUACUAGUACUAGGUAAGUGUCUUAUACAAGUAUUCUACUAUUUUAGAAGUAUUCAUGUUUCAAAGAUUUAUGAUUUACCAUAAUUAAUUGCAUAAAAGAUAUUCAAUUUUAAAAUGAUUAGUUAUACUCCUAUAAAGUAUAAUUUGACGGUGUCUGUCAUCAUUAGAAUUUUGAACAAUUUUUUAGUACCAUUGAUCAAAUUAUGUGACUUUUUUAAGUGAUCUUUAUUUAAAUAGCUUUUAAUCAUAAUCAAUCAUGCAAGGUUGAAUUGUCUAGAUUUAGUCAUCUCACUCUCUCAUAUUAAAAUUACUCUCACUUGAUACAUCCCGAUAAUAAGUGAAAUGAAAUGAUGUGUUAGAAUGAGAUGUGAAAAAAAUGAAUCUUAACGAUCGAUCAAAUUAUGAAAAGUUGAAAUUAAAAUAAAAAAUUAUAUGACUUUUAAAGUAAUUAUAUACUAAAUUCUCUUAUCUCUCAUUAGAACACAUCAUCUCACAUCAUUUAAAUAGAAAAAAAAAACAUUUUUUUUUGAAUGGUGAGAGAUGACACUUUACCUUUUUAUGAGAGGGUUGAUUUCCAUAUUUACACACACGAAAUGAGAGGGUAGAAUUUUGGUCUCCUAAAUUUUUUUGAGAUGUUUUAUUUCUACAAUUUUUCAAUUCUUACAAUUAAAUAUCUAGUUCCUUUUAAUCUAUUAAAAAUAUUUAUAUUAAUAAAUUGUUUAACAUUAUUUUACUUCAAAUUCAAUAAUUAAAAUAUCAAAUUUAACUCACAUCAGAAAAAAUUAAAAUUCUUUGAUUUAAAAUCCUAUAAAAUUCUUUGAUUUUAUAUUAUAUUGAUCUUCUAACUAAAUAUUUUAAUAAAAAAAUAUUUAGUAAAAUAAAAUUGACAGUAAAAUCGUAUUUGAAAGCAGAUGAUGUAAAAUAGCUAAAAAGAAAAGUUUGAAGACCAAAAUUCCACAUUAUUCAAAUUAGAGGUUACAAAUAUAAAUCUAAUGGCAAUUUUUAAUUUUUUAAGCACGAAGCGGCGUCGUUUGUUUGGGCCUGAAAAAAAACGUAUACACCCAUAAGACGAAAAAAAGCAUAUCCCAUCCGUGUACUUGGAUCCGCCCCAUUAACCAUAGUCAAAUCCAAACUCAACCAUAGUUACAUCUCUUCCUCAGAACCCCCCACGUGUCAAGAUCCAACGGUCACUUCUGAAGUUACUCAGAACCACGCGCUAUUAUAAAUAUCUAUGCUUGUCUUUCGUUAACCCCCAACCCAAACCCUAAUCCCUCUUCCAAUUGUACAAUUAGAUUCAAUCAUUUCUAUUAACUGUAGCCAUGCCAAACCCUAGAGUUUUCUUCGAUAUGACCGUCGGUGGCACAGCCGCUGGACGUAUCGUCUUCGAGCUCUUCGCCGAUGUCACUCCAAGAACCGCCGAGAAUUUCCGCGCUCUCUGCACCGGUGAGAAAGGUGUCGGACGUAGCGGCAAGCCACUUCACUUCAAGGGAUCCUCCUUCCAUCGUGUGAUCCCCAACUUCAUGUGUCAGGGAGGUGACUUCACCGCCGGGAACGGCACCGGAGGAGAAUCGAUCUACGGAUCCAAAUUCGCCGAUGAGAACUUCAUCAAGAAGCAUACCGGUCCUGGUAUCUUAUCUAUGGCUAACGCUGGUCCAGGAACCAACGGAUCUCAGUUUUUCGUCUGCACUGCAAAGACCGAAUGGCUCGACGGUAAACACGUUGUGUUUGGUCAGGUUGUUGAAGGACUUGAUGUUGUGAAGGAGAUCGAGAAGGUUGGAUCAAGCAGCGGGAAGACCUCUAAGCCUGUGAAGAUCGCUGACUGUGGUCAACUCUCUUAGAUGAUGUUGACUCUUUUGGUGGCUCUGAAUUUAAAUUUGUUCUAAAACCCAAGUGUUUUCCAAUUCGGUGUCGUUUUUAGUCUUUUUAUCGUUUUCUGCUUUAGGGAUUGUGGUGGUGCUAUUUGUUAUAUCUGGAUCCAAUGAACCCCCUUCCUUUUAUUGCUAUCAUUAUGCAUUUGAUAGUGUGAGUGGAGUCUUGUUGUGGUAAACAUAAAAAUGAUGAGCUACCUUAAUAAAUUAGGAUUAUUACUCUAUAUGUUCUCUCUUUUUUUUGUUUCUUUUUAUGAUUUGGUUUUGUUUUGCUAGUUAUUACAGUGCUUAGAUUUUGAUUGUCACUGGUGAUUACUCAAACACCAAAUUCAGUAUUUGCUCGAUAACAAAUUAAUGUGGCUAUAAUUGGAAUUUAAUAUAUUUUCUACUGUAUUUAAAACUUGAUUUGUUUGAAUGAUUUUCCUAAUUUUAGAAAUUAACAAAUGUAGUCAUAAUUUUGAAUAACACCUCUAGGAUUUGAAAAAUAAAAAUUUACAUUUUUUAAAUUUUUGCCGACGUCAUUGACUCUACUUUUAUAAUUAUGAUUGAAAGAUCUAGUUUUGAGCUUUGCAUUUAAAAUUAUAUUCAAAAUCUGCAUAUAUAAAUACAAUUUGAUAAAAAUUAAACUGUCAGUGAUUUUCAGAUGGACUGUAUGACUGCCUCAAUUCAGGUGUCUAAGUUUUGAGAUCCAAAACCGAAGACAAUCGAAAAUCUAUCUUUGGAUGACAUCGCAUGAGUGCUGCCUCCGCCAUUUUCUUGCACGAGUGUUUGGGGUUAUUAUUUCACUUUAUUUUAGUGUUUGUUUUAUUAUUAUUAUCAUCGGUCCAUUUUUAGAAAAAAAUAAUUUUUAUAGAAAAUUAUUUUAAAAUAGUAUAAGUUUGUUUAGACUUAUUUGUUUUUUAUUAAAAAAUAAUUUUUAUUUAUAAAGAAUUUAAUAUUAUAAAAAUUAUAUUUUUAAAAUGAUAAUUUAAAAAAAUAAUUUUUAUCAAGAAAGUUUUGAAAUAACUUUAUCAUUUUAAUUAUUUUUUUUAAUUUUAUAGUUGAAGAAAAAUGGUAGAAAAUAAAUGAAAAGCUUAAAACUAUUGCUAUUUCGUAUCUGUUGCUAUUUUGAUAUCUAAUUUUUAAGAAAAAUGUAGAGAAUAAAUGAAAAGCUUGAAAUUUUAUGUAUUGCUAUUUUGAUAUCUAAUUUUUAGUUCGGUUGUGAUUUUUGAAAAAUAUUUAGCUUUUAAAACACAAAGCAGAUCGGCAUCUUUGUUGAUGGAUAGCUUCCACCAAUGCUUCCAAGCAUACCUAGCCAUAUAUUUUAAGGUACUCCCUCUUAAAUAAAAUAAAAACAAAAGUUAUUGUUAAAAGUUUACAUAUAUACUUAAGAAUUUAAAUAAGAUACAUCAACUUUUAAAUUAUUAUUUUUUAUUUAUAUUUUAUUUUAAAGAUAAAAUAUUUUUAUCACUUAAAUAUUAUAGUCUAAAACACUCGAACAAAAAUUUUAGAUUAAUGUAUAUACUUCUUUAAAAAAGUCUACAUUUGCAAAUGCAAAUUCUUUAAAGAAAUUCAUUAAAGAAAUCGCUUUUGCAAACGCGGGUUUCCUUAAGAAAUUCACCAUUUGCAAAUGUGACUCGCAGGUGAGUUUAAAAAUAAGAUAUUUUAGUAUAUAGUUUUAAAAAUGAAGUAUUUUAAAAAAAUUUAAAAAAAAAACAAGGUAUUGGAAAAAAAAAAUGCCCUAUGCAAGAGCUCACUGAAAAACGCAACUCUUAUCUCUCCUUUGAGGAGGAUAUUAGUAAAAUAGUCGAGCCUAUAAUUCAUAAUGACUAAACAAAAUUGAUAUUGACAAUAAGUUAUAAGUAUUUGAUAACCAUAUAAUCUUAUCUCGGAUUUUUGUACGUGCUAGUAAGAAAUAUUUUUCUUGUGGUUUUAUUAAUAUUUAUUAGGGAUAAAUAUUUAUUUUAUAUUUUUUAAUAGCCUAAAUAUCAUCUGUGGUCCCUUAACUUAAUUUCAGUUAAAGUUUUAGUCAUUUAUCUUUUUUUUUUCGAUUUAGUCCUUUAUUCCUAACAAUAUCAAAUAAAGUGUGAAAAUAUGAAUUUAUUUGAAGAUUUGCAUUACGAAUUUGAUGAAAUUUGUAUUAUAUUGAAGAAUAUAAUUAAUUUUAUGAGUUUUGUUUGAAUUUUUGUAUAAAAAAGGAUAACAUUGUUGAAAUUUUAAAACAUAAAAUAUCAAAUUAUCACUUAAAAUUAAAAUAAAGGAUCAAGUCGGGAAAAAAAAAGAUAAAUGACUAAAACGUUACCUGAAAUUAAGUUAAGAGACCAAAUAUGUAAUUUAGUUUUUUUAAUAUUUAUUAGUAAUAAAUAUUUGUCUCAUAUUUUUUUAUAUAUUAAUGAUGAAUAAUUAUUUCGAAUUUUUAUUAUUUAUUAUUGACAUUUAUUUGUCUCAUGAUUUUUUAUAUUUAUAAAUCACAAACAUUUAUCUUGUAUUUUUUAUUCAUUGGUUAUAAAUAUUUGUCCAAGGUUUUUUUAUUAUUUGUUAAAGACAAUGAUUUGUCUCAUAUUUUUUUAAUAGUUAUCAUUAACAAAUAUUUGUCUCGUAUUUUAGUAUAUAGUUUUAAAAAUGAAGUAUUUUAAAAAAAUUUAAAAAAAAAACAAGGUAUUGGAAAAAAAAAUGCCCUAUGCAAGAGCUCACUGAAAAACGCAACUCUUAUCUCUCCUUUGAGGAGGAUAUUAGUAAAAUAGUCGAGCCUAUAAUUCAUAAUGACUAAACAAAAUUGAUAUUGACAAUAAGUUAUAAGUAUUUGAUAACCAUAUAAUCUUAUCUCGGAUUUUUGUACGUGCUAGUAAGAAAUAUUUUUCUUGUGGUUUUAUUAAUAUUUAUUAGGGAUAAAUAUUUAUUUUAUAUUUUUUAAUAGCCUAAAUAUCAUCUGUGGUCCCUUAACUUAAUUUCAGUUAAAGUUUUAGUCAUUUAUCUUUUUUUUUUCGAUUUAGUCCUUUAUUCCUAACAAUAUCAAAUAAAGUGUGAAAAUAUGAAUUUAUUUGAAGAUUUGCAUUACGAAUUUGAUGAAAUUUGUAUUAUAUUGAAGAAUAUAAUUAAUUUUAUGAGUUUUGUUUGAAUUUUUGUAUAAAAAAGGAUAACAUUGUUGAAAUUUUAAAACAUAAAAUAUCAAAUUAUCACUUAAAAUUAAAAUAAAGGAUCAAGUCGGGAAAAAAAAAGAUAAAUGACUAAAACGUUACCUGAAAUUAAGUUAAGAGACCAAAUAUGUAAUUUAGUUUUUUUAAUAUUUAUUAGUAAUAAAUAUUUGUCUCAUAUUUUUUUAUAUAUUAAUGAUGAAUAAUUAUUUCGAAUUUUUAUUAUUUAUUAUUGACAUUUAUUUGUCUCAUGAUUUUUUAUAUUUAUAAAUCACAAACAUUUAUCUUGUAUUUUUUAUUCAUUGGUUAUAAAUAUUUGUCCAAGGUUUUUUUAUUAUUUGUUAAAGACAAUGAUUUGUCUCAUAUUUUUUUAAUAGUUAUCAUUAACAAAUAUUUGUCUCGGAAUUUUUUAUAUAUUAAUGAAAAAUAUUUAUUAUAUAAUUAUUUAUAUUUAGAAAUAAAUAUAUCUCUUGUAUUUUUUAUGUAUUAGUUAUAAAUAUUUAUUUAAUGUUUGUUUUUUAAUAUUUAUCAAUAAAAAAUAUUUUUCUUGUGUUUUUUAUGCAUCAAUAAUAAUUAUUUAUAUCAUAAUUUUUUAUAUUUAUCAAUGACAAAAAUGUAUUCGUAUUAUUUAUACAUCUCUGACAUAAAUAUGUAUCCAAUUUUUUUAACAUAUUUAUAAAUGACAAAGAUUUAUUUAAUUUUUAAUAUUUAUCAAUGACUAAUAUUUAUUUUACUUUUUUAUAUAUUAAAUACUAAUAUUUGUUUCAUGAUUUUUUAUACUAUGACUAACAAAUAUUUAUUUUGUAUUUUUUUAUGUAUCAGUAGAAAUAUUUGUCCCCUGAUUUUUAUAUUUAUUAGUGACAAAUAUUUCUUCUAUUAUUUUUUAUGUAUCGGUUAUAAAUAUUUAUUAUGCAUGUUCUUUUUAAUAUUUUUCAAUAAAAAAAUUUGUUUUUUUAUGUAUCAAUAAUAAAUAUUUAUCUAGUGAUUUUGUAUAUUUAUCAUUGACGAAUAUUUAUCUUGUGUGCUUUAUUUAUUUAUUAGUAACAAAUAUUUGUCCCCCAUAACUCCGAUAUUCUAUAUUUAUCUUUGACAAAUUUUUAUCUCGUGUUUUUUAUGAAUCAUUUAUAAAUAUUCUUUUUAAUAUUUAAUCAUGACAAAAAUUUAUCUUAUAUUUUUUUAAUAUUUAUCAAUACAAAUAUUUGUUUAAUAUUUUUUUAUGUAUUAAUAAUAAAUAUUUUUUAUGAGAUUUUAAUAUUUAUCACUAACAAAUAUUUGUCAUGUAUUUUUUAUAUAUCAGUUAUAAAUAUUUAUCCCAUAUGUUUUUAAUAUUUAUAAAUGAAAAUAUUUUUUUCAUAUUUUCAUAUGUUUCGGGAACAAAUAUAUGUCUUGUGAUAUUUUAUAUUUAUUACUGAUAAAUAUUUAUUAUAUAUUUUUUAUGUAUUAAUUAUAAAUAUAUAUUUUGCAUUUAAAUAUUACUCAUUUAUAUAUAUAAAUUUUUUUUUUUGGACAAAUAAACGGUUCUAAAGGAAAACAAAUUAUAAUUAGUAUUUUAGUAAUAUAUAGAAAAAGGAAAUGAGAAUAAUUAUCGGUGCAGUCUCUGUAACAUUCCUUAGUAAUAUUUAUAAACUUUUUUAAUUAAGCGCCAAGCCUACAUCAUCUACCUCUAAAAUUUUAAAUGUGUUUCUUUUACAUUUGCCUUUGAAAACGUACCAUCAUCGACAAUCAAACUUUAUCCUUUUCUUCACAAAUGUAUUUUUUCUUCUUUUUGGCUUUUUUGUAUCUUCUUCGUUAUUUCUUAGCAAAAAAAAAAAUCUUCAUUGUUCUUUCUCAUUUUUUUCAACACUUAUAAUCUUUUAAGAAUUUUUUACAUUUUCUAAAGAACCUUAAAACAUUAAUAAUACAUUUUGAAUUUUAUUAAUGCAUUUGCAUCUUAAUUUUUUAACUAGGCAGACUUAACUAUAGAAGAUAAUAAAGUAAAUACAAUAAUAAUUGAAUUAAGAGAAAGAUAACACCGCUACUAUUAAUGAUAAAAACUAAAAAGAAAUACCAAGCUAAGGUCUUAUCCAACUCACCGUGUUUUUUCUUUUCUUAUAGUAAAGUAAAACAAACAAAAGUUAAAAGAGGAAAAUCAACUCUAAAAAUUUCUGAAUCUUCUGAUCUAAAACACACUAAAGAUUAAAAACGCAAAGAUAGGGUCAAAUACAUAGAAAGAGGAGAAAUUAAAGAAGAGAAAAAAAAUCCUAAGAGAGGAGAAAGAAGAAGGAGGUGUAGCAAAUUUUCCAUCAUAUUUAUUUAUCUUAUUUGAUUUUUUUUUUCUAUGUUCUCUACUUAAUUUUGCUCAUCAUCUUCUUUCUCUUAAUCUUCUUCCUUCUCUCUUCGUAUUAAUAAUAAUAGUAAUAGAAAGAAAAAUAAUAAAAUUAUAAUUUGUUGUUAGUAUAAAGAAAUGAAAAAAAAUAAAGAAAAUUAUUAAGAAGUAAAAGAUAAAGUGAGAGUGAGUAGUGUGAUGAAAAAUAAGCUAAGACGAAGAUUGAGGAAAAUAGAUGGUUUGUGGUGAGUAAGAAGAUGAACACGAGAAAGAAAGAAAAAAUUGGAUUGUGUGUUAGAUUUUGGAAUCGAGAGAGAAAGAGCAAGUAUAUUAAAGAAUAAAGACUUUAAAGUAGAUUCUGUCGGUGGUAAGAAAUUACAAUUGAGGAUAUAAUUUUUUAUCAUUCGUUAAAAUUGAAGAUGGUAAUUUGGAUUUUUAGCUACGUGUUAGAAUUUUUAAAUAUAUAUUGUAGAUGUGUGCAGCAUAAAUGUUGACAUCUAGUGUCUUGGAAACAAUCAAACAACAUGGAUAAUGUGUCGUAAAUGAAUGAUGAGAACCUUUUUUUUUUUUUUUGGUGCAUGAAGAGAACCUUUCUAUCAGACUAUUUGAUGAUUAUAUCUUUCUCAACACUUGAUUUCUCAUCGGAGAAAUGACGUAAUAUAACAAUGGGUUCCACCAUUUUUUGGGUAUAAAUAAGGCGUUGCAAUAUAAGAUCACAUGUAUGAUAAAAAUAUGAAAAAUUUACCUAGUAUCCCCUCUUUUGAAAAAGAUUAAAAUACCCUUAUAUAUAUAUAUAUUAAAAAUAUCAUUUUUUUAUUUUUUUAUUUUGAUAUUUUCGAAACACACACAAGUGAAUGUUAAAAAAAUAUUUUUUUUUUUAUUUUUCCAUACAGAACAUCACUUUCGUAAAUUAUUUUUGAAGUUUUAAAACUAUACUUUAUUUUAAAUUUUCUGGAUAAAAUACACUACGGACAAUCUUCAUCUAAUUAGUUUCCCAUAACUACACCUUAUUAGUAUUUAUUUAAUUUAUUUGAUUUUAACUACAUUUUUUUUCUUCAGUGGAUAAGGUUAGAGUUAAAGACGCAAAGUUAUAACAAGAAUAUGUGAUUUUGAAUCUUCAUCGUUUAUAAAUGAUGCUCCGAAAGGUUUGUUCGACAGCAUCGCGUAGAAGGCGACGAUUUAUAAUGAAAAAUGAUGACCUCGAGGAUCAAACUCAUAUAUCUACUCAUGUAAGAGGAUCAUGCGGUACACAAGGAAACCAGGUACAACAUGAGAAGGUACCUAGAGGAUACAUGGAGGGACAUGUACAACAUGAUUAUUAAUUAUUAUUUAUGUCUAUUAAUUAUUAUAGUGUAUUAAUUAUUUAAUGGUGUAUUUAUGGUUUAUUAAUUAUUUAUGGUGUAUUAAUUAUUAAUUAUUAUUUAUGAUAUAUUAAAAAAAAGUAUGUACCAAAAAAGUUGUCUAUCAAGUUUUUCGGAAAACAUUAAAACUUGUAAAAAAGUUUUCCGGAAUGUACCCGAAUUCUUUUAAAUAGUUUUUCGAAAAUUACCGAGAAUGUUUUUUUACUGAUUCCGAAAAUGAUAAAAUGGUAAAAAAAUGAGAAUAUUUUUAACAUUUUCAUAAAUUUGUGGGGUAUAAAUAUAAAAGUGGGAUACAGAGUAAAUUUUUCUAAAAAUAUAUGUAAAUGAGUUAUAAUAUUACAUUUACAUUUUUAGUUUUUUGAACUCAAGACCUCUAAAUAAUUUUUAAAAAUUUAUGUCAUUUAAGCGCUCUUGGAUACAACAAGUUCUACAUAAAAUACUCACAUAAUUACUCACUCCAUCAAUAGCAUUUUUACGGUUUUUCGUAAUUAUUUGCAAACAUUAAAUUUAAUUUAUUCAAUAAUUAAACAUCAUCAUAUCUUAUUAUUGAUCACACAUAUAAAAGUUUAAAUAAAAUAAAUAUUAUUUGCCAAAUAUUGUAAAAGUAGAUAUUUAUUUAUAUUUAAAAAAAAAUAUUAUACAUCAAUUUUAAAAUAUUGUUCAAUGCAUUGUAUAUUUUUAAAACUUUAUAAAAAUUCUACGAAUUUAUCUUCUCGACAAAACAUUUAAUUUAAUUGUUGAAUCAUUAAAAGAAAUUUGAGGCACAAAUUAGUAAAUUUUAAAAGUGUGUUGCUAAGUAAGGUAACUUUAGUUAGAGUAACUUUUAUAUUUUAUUUAGAGAUAAAUAAAUUUUUAUUUUUAUAAAUAUAUUAUAUUUUGUUUUUAGUCAUUUAAAUUUUUUCUUCAAACAUUGGUUUCUAUUAUUAAGUCCACUCAUAUGUACUAUUUAGAUUUUUGAAUUAUUUUAUUCAGAUAUGUUUUAAACAUUAUAAGAAUUUCUUUAAAAAAAUUGGAUUUUUUUAACAAAACAUGAAUUAAAUAUGAAUUUUUAAGAGUAAUAAAUUUUAAAAUUUAUAUUUAAUUAUUUUCUUAUAAAAAAAAUUCUAAACUUUUGUAAGAGAUACUUUUAUAAUAUCUUAAACAUGACUUGCAAAUAUAUCGGUUAAAAAUUAGAAUGAUAUACAUAAUUUGAUUGAAAAUAAGAGAUCAAACUUAUUCACAGAAAAUAUUUAAGCCACUAUUAUUUAUAGAAAAUUUUUUAAUAACUAAAAAUAAAAUAUAAUAUAUUUAUAAGAAAUAAAAUUGUAUUAAACCCUUUUAUUUAUAAUUAUAUUCCAAGUAUAAAGCUUCUACCAUCCUUUUGGUAGCAUUGUCUUCCUAUUAGAUUGAGACACUGACACCUAAAUAUUGAUUCCGACUCAAAUUAUAAGUCACUUUAGUCAUUUCAUACAAAUUAAUAAAUGUAGUUAAUUUUAUAUGAAAAAUAAAAUUUAUAAGUUAUUUUACAAAUCUAUGCUGAUAAAUUGUACGAGAAAGAUAAAUUGAAAAAAUGAAUAAUAAUAAUAAUAAUAAUAAUAAUAAUAAUAAUAAUAAUAAUAAUANNNNNNNNNNNNNNNNNNNNNNNNNNNNNNNNNNNNNNNNNNNNNNNNNNNNNNNNNNNNNNNNNNNNNNNNNNNNNNNNNNNNNNNNNNNNNNNNNNNNNNNAAAUAAUAAUAAUAAUAAUAAUAAUAAUAAUAAUAAUAAUAAUAAUAAUAAUAAUAAUAAUAAUAAUAAUAAUAAUAAUAAUAAUAAUAAUAAUAAGUAGUAAAAGUAUGAUAAGAACAUAAACUUUAAUGUUUCAUUGAUAUUAUAAAAUGACAUAUAAUUUAGUAACAAUUUAUUUUAAAGUGACAUAUAAUUUGAGAUAGAUAGAGUAAUUUAUUAACAAAUAAUGAUUGAAUUAAAAAAAUCAAACAUCAUGUUUAAAUAUAAACACAUAAAAAUCAUAAUUAAAGAAAUUCAAAAUAUUUUUUUAAUUGUCAUAUAUAAAUAAUUAGGUGCAAACACAUGUAUAUUUUUUUUAUCUUAAUUACACUUUUAAGAUAUUCUGUAUUAUCAUAUUUACAAAAAUAAUUUAUCUAUUUUAAAAGUAAAUUUUUUAAUUAAUUUAUCAUAUUUACUACAAUUUUAUUCUCAACCUAUAAUCGUUACUUAAAAAUUAUGAAUUUUAACCUUAAAAAUCACGACUUUAAACCUAACAUAAAUAUUUUAUUUUUAAAUUUUUAAUUGGAGACAAUAAAUCAACUAUUUUUAGAGAAAAAAAAACAAUUAUUUUAAUAAAAAAGUUAGAUCAGCCCAAAACUAGCAUAAAUAUGAUAAUUAAAUGACAAAUUUUUUAACUUAAUAUAACAAAAUUAUUUUUUUAAAUGUAAUAAAAUAAGAAGAUAAAAGUUGUAAUUAACUUUAUAUUUUUUAUAAAAAAAAAUAAUAAUAAUUUUUUACUGGCCAGAGUUAUGUUAUGACCAUAUUCCAUUUGGUCCGGUGAGCGUUGUUUGUCCUCUCCCGAACCCUAAAAUCCGAACACCGAUCGAUCGUUGAAAUGGAAGUGUCAUGGUUGAGUGCCAUUUUGGUCGGCGCUGGUUAUCUUGCUUUCGGUUACUUCAUCGGUUCUCGUUAUCCCCCUCGUUUCCUUAGAUUUUCAUUCUCUAAAUACAAAGAUUCAUCACUUCUCAAUGAUAAUAACAACAACAACAACAGUAGUAGUAAGCAGAAGAAGAGUACUAAGUCCAAACUUAAAGAACCACUCGAGGUUGAAAAGCUCGCUGACAUUCUCGAUGAUUUUAAGAUGGUAAUUCCACUAAAUGUUAUCUUUUUUUUCUUUUACAACCCACCUACUCUAUUUUACUGUGUUGCUUCAAAAAUUGUUCCUUUUUAUGCAGAUACUUGUUGUUAGAAAUGAUCUUAAAAUGGGUAAAGGAAAGAUUGCUGCUCAAUGCAGGUAUGUAACCUUUGUUUAUUAUGCUUAGAGUGUGACACAUUAGGCUAACUAAAAUUAUAUAGGGCUUGUUUGGAUUGGUUUAUUUGAGCUUAUAUAUUCUAUAAGCAAUUGUGAGACAUUUUGGGUGAGCUUAUAGAAACAAAUAGUUUAUUCGAUUAGCUGUUUUUAGCUUAUUUCCAUAAGUUCUCGAAUAUAGCUUAUGAAAUCAACUUGACUUUAUUUUAGAAAUAGGUUAUACAUAAGCACUUAAAAGUUAUAUGAUCGGUGUGUAUGCUAUAAGCUCUUAAUUAAACUGUUCAUGCAAAGAGGGCCUUAUUCCACUAGUUUGUUGAAGCACUCUAACAUAGAGAUCUUUCAUCCAUGUGAAGGGUGAACUUAUUUAUUGCUCCUAUUUAUUUAUAUUUUCAUUCAGAAAAAAACUUAAUUAAUGGUUCAAGCUCAGUUUUCUAUUUCUCUUUCUUUUUGUAGUCAUGCAACAUUGGGUCUCUACAAAAAGGUUCUUUAUCGAGCUCCAAAGGCUUUGAAUAGGUACUUUCAUUGGUUGAGCUUGUAUGUCAUUUUGAAUUUAUAAUUUCAUUCUUAAGUUUGUCAAUGUCAAUGUGCAGGUGGGAGAUGUCUGCUCAGCCUAAGGUUGUUGUCAAAAUUGAAAGUGAAGAAGAUAUGCUGGCUUUGCAAGUAUGUACUUUUUAAUGCUUAAGGAAAUUUUGCGCUGUAUUAGCAAAUCCUCUUUGAAUCUGUUUUAAGAUCUCCAUUUCAUAAAUUUUGCGCUGUAUUGCUCAGUUAUUGGUCAUGAUUAUGACAACAAAUGAACACUAUUAAGGUUUCUUUUGAAUAAGGUUUUCAAAAAGAGAUUUUAGUAUAUGAAAUAAGGACUAAAUUGCCUGUUUUUAAAAUUUCAUGUUUUUUAAAUCCGUAACUAUUAUAAAAAAGUUAAUUCUUUAAAACAAUUCAAACAGGCCUUUAAAUUCAAUUGUGUGCGUUUGGAUUGGCUUAUGAACAACUUAUUUGAACUUGUCUACUAGCAUAAACACUUGUGUUAGUGUUUGAGAGAGCUUAUGGAAAUAGCUUAUAGCUUAUAACAUGUACAUAAGCUGGUUUUAGUUUAUUUCAAUGAGCUUUCCAUGUUAGCUAAUGAAAACAGAUUACAACUUAUAUGCAAACAAUUGAACCACAGUUUAUUUUUUAUUAUAAAAAUAACUUAUACAUAAACGUUUAUAUGAUAAGUAAUUAUUUUAUAUGUGCUUAAUUGCACUGUUUAUAUGAAUUUACUUCUCUUUUACUUAAUCUUGCAAAAGGUAGUAGGAAGUUUUGGAUUUACACUCUUCUGUAACCCACAGUGUUAUCAUUAUUUUACUUGUCGAAACUGCUUAAAGCCUGUUAGUCAAUUUAUCAUAAAUUUUACUCUAAUGCAUGACUCAUAUUCUAAAGAUAGUUUUUAUUUUAGUAAAAUUGUCGUUUGAUGUGGUAGGAAAGGGCUAAAUCUCUCAAGUUACCCACUCAUAUCACUAUUGAUGCUGGGAGAACACAGAUUGCACCAAGUGAGUAUUUGGAACUAGCCUUACUAUGUUGUUAAAUUAUUGACUUAUAGUGUUCACUAUAUGUUUGAAAUUUCAUCUUUCAGUAUUAUUAAAAGAAAUUAUUAACAUCUCACACUUGAUGCAAAUUAUCAAGUACUACUAUAUUUUGCUGGAUAUCAAUUAAAUUGUGCUUGCAGAACUGAAACUAAAAUUAGUUUUGAAGCAAUCCCCUAAAGUGAAAUAGACACCGCAUUAUCCUUUUAUUUAAUGAAAGUUUAAUCCAUGCUUGGAAAUGCUGUUUAAUGCUUAACAGAGUUUUUUUUUUUCUUCUAGAUUCCAGAACAGUGAUGGCAAUCCUUGGUAAUACUCUCCUCUAAUAUAAUGAUAGUAUAUUUUUUUUCUUGUCGAUUUACAAUUUUCCUUUUGUUUUUACAGCUCGAAAUGGUUCAAUUUAACAUGAUAUUUAUGUGCAGGACCUGUUGAAGUGGUAGAUGAGGUAACAGGUGGACUGAAACUUCUAUAGUUUUCUUUUGUCCAGUGAAGUUGGUGGUCUAUUAUUUAUCAUGAAGUUGGGGUGUUCAUGAAAGAUAACACAUUGAACGUUAUCAACAUUUUACUUCAUUAGAGCCCUGGGAAGAUUUUGCAUGCUCUUUGCCCACACAAAAAGUGUAGUUAAUCUUUAGUUGACAGUAAUGAUGAUGAUGAAAACUUUUUGUUGGAGAUCCUCACCCAUAAAAAUUGGAAUCAUGAGACUAAUAGUAAAUAUAGAACGGUGUAAUUCAUUUUAUAUGAAGUGUUUUUUGUGUCUAAAAUUUAUUAUGUUCUUAGUGAUACCAUGAUUGGUUAAGGAAGGUAUAUGACUUUUUUUUUUUUUUAUUUGCAUUAGAAAAUAUUGGGAAAAUAAAUUUAUUGAAUAAUCAAAUCACCAGGCAUGUAUUACACGUCAUUGCUAGUUAACAUAUUGUUUCAAGAUACUAUUACUAAUAUGGUUAGUACUUAGUAGAUACAAUAGCAAAUGCCCUUGUUUAUAAACCCACUUAAAAUCAUCAACAUUGAAGGAAAUCCAACGUUUGUAAGUUCCUUUUAGAAUUGUUAUUAUGCCAAUUGGUCAUUUCCUCUCUAAGAUACUUGGGUAAGCAAAUUUUCUGGUUUAUUUUGUCGCUACUUUCUUAGUUUUUCUAUCUAAGUUUAAAUAAAUAUUUAUUAAUAAUCUUUAGACGAUUACCUAAGUACUGUCUUCUCCUCCACCCCCGUAGUAAUUAUAUUUAAAAAUGGAUAUGCUAUUAUUCUUUUUUCAAAGAUAAAAAAAGGCAAUAACCCUUUAUAUGUAAUGAGAUUUCAUUCGCAAAUUUGAGAUGGAACAAUCUUUGACCAAAUUUAACUUAUCUUUUGUCCGAAUUCUAGAUUAUUAGAUUCCUUUUCCUUAGAACUUAAAGUAAAAAUAAACAAGGUAGCAUGAGUGCAAGGUAGGUACAAAGUAUCAUCAGUUGCAAGAAAUAAAAAUGUCUUAUCUCAAACAAACCUUAUUACAUGAAGAAGUAUGGACAUUUAUAUUAAAUUUCACAACAAUAGAGAGAUCAUAGUAGGGCUUACAAUUGCAAAACCGAUAAUCACCCAAUGGUUUACAAAUCAGGCUUGCUUAGUUAUCAAUAGUAUGGAAGAACAUGUUUCAUGGAAGACUACUGUUUAUUGGAGAAAAAAACAAUGAACAAAUCAAAUGAAUGAAUCACAUACAUGAAUUCUGGAUCCUAAAGAAAUUGUUCGUCAUUAUCCGACAAGAUUGGUGUAUUAGUGAGUGUCAGUAACCACGAUGAUACCGUAUCCCGAGCCACUCCCCGCAAAAGCUACAACUUGGAGCUUUGAUUUCAACAUGCAUACAUUAGCUACCCACCACGGUUCCAAGCACACUAAUACUCAAUAUGCGCCCACUGCACAAACGGACCCAAACACCACUCAUCUGCAAUGGCAAAAACAAGUCAUGACUACAUAAAUCGUAACUUUCUAUUUAAUACUAGCAGUAAACUAAACAACAAGAAUUGCCUACAUAAAGUUAAGUCUUACAACAAGUUUGAAUCCAAAUUUACAGUUUCAUUAUAAUUCACAAAGUGUCAUUUCGUGAACUUCAGUUUCGUGUAUACUCAAUCAUUUCUUUUCAUUUUAUUUUGACGGGUUCCCUUUUUCAAUUCUCCUAUUGGUAAUGAUCUAAUUUCACCUCUGCAGAAAAAACGAUUUACAUAUUUCAUAAUAUAUUACAAGAUACAGGAAGUCAUUGUAGGACAUGACCAUUCUAGAUUGAUGGAUUCACUUUAAAAGGAGAAACGAAGAGUUAAUAAAAACUGACGACAAAAAAUCAAGAGAGUGGAUCUAAACAAAUUAUGUGUAUGUUUGUCGUGUAUAUAUUUUAUCACAAUCUCAGCAAUUGAUUUUGUUAUCAAUGAUCAUGAAUUCUCGGUUCCAUCGAUUAAAGGACUGAAAUCUUUAAUUCAAGUGAUGCAUAUUCAGCAAUUGUUACUAAAACGAAUAGAUCAUUUUUUCCCCUCGGAAAUACUAACCUUCUUUUACCAAGCUCUUCUGAUGUGGAUAUGACACCACAUCAUACGCAUCACAAAUACAAACACUUCCACAUUUCCAGGCUGCAUAAACCUCCUUCAACUUCAGGCAUCAACUCCAUUUUCAGAUCGUUCAGCCACAAGAGAUUCUACCCUGACAUCACUGCUCUUCUUAACAUGCCAUUGUGCAGUUGAAGUGUCGUGGCAAACUCCACAGUAGCACAACAGCCGCGCUCUAGAAAGUUGCACACAUCAAAAUCAGGCUAUAGUCCUUUCCUUAGAGCGUGUUAUACCACAAUUCAACUGCUGCUCCUUCAUUGCCCCUUCUGCAAUUCUAAAUUUUGUCUGGGCUUCACCCCUCUCCUCAGCAUGUCAUCUCGCAAUUCAAAUGCCUUGCCAAGCUCUCCAUUAACACAACAGCCAUAUAUUAGCAAGUUAUAUGCAACCGAAUCUGGCGCAACACCUUUUUCUAACAUGGUAUCCCACAGUUUAACUGCUGCUCCUACAUUGCCAUUUCUGCAGUACUCAUAAAUUAAAGUCGAAUAUGUAAUACAGUCGGGGGAAAUCCCAUUUUCAGUCAUUUCAGAAAGAACUUUGGUGGCUUCAAUUAAUCUACCCAAUUUGCAGAAGCCACGGAUAAGAAUGUUGUAUGUUACCGUGUUUGCUAAAAGCCCCUUAAGCAUUGCAAGGUGAAGCUCUGUAGCUUCCUUCAUAUUUCCCUCCUUCGUAAGACGGUCAAGAAAACAACCACAUGCAAUUGAAUUAGGAGUGAUAUUCGCAGCCAGCAUUUUUUUGAAAACGACACCUGCUCUAUCCAUUUCACCAGCUUUGCAUAAACCAUUCAUGAAAGCGGUAUAAGUUACAACGUUGGGAAAGCAUUUCUCAGCAACCAUUAAAUCCCAACAUUCAACGGCUUUUUUAAAUGAUCCUUCUUUGCUGUAUGAGUCAAUCAUACUUGUAUAUAUUACACUAUCAGGUCUCAAUCCUUGAUCGUACAUCUCUUUUACGAGACCAAAGAACAUUUUCGUGUCUAGCUGCUUCAGAGCACCGUCAAUAAGAACAGCGUGGCAAACAAGGUCCAUGUUGAUUCCUCUUUGAAUCAUCUCAUACGAAGCACUUAGUGCCUCCGUCAAUCUUCCUUCCCCGCAAUAACCAUGUAGAAGUGCACUGUAGCACAUCUCAUUUAACUUGAGGUUCUGCUUGUGGAGAUCAUCAAUAAAAUCUUUAGCUUCAGAUACCCUACCAGUAGAACAAAGGCCACCAAUCAGAGGUCUGUAGGUAUAUGUAUCCGGAACAAGGCCCUUUUGAAGCAUGUCUUCAAGCAAUUCAAAGGCUUUAUCAAUGUUACGAGCCCUACAAUACCCUUCAAUCAUAACAUUAUAUGUCACCUCAGUUGGAUUGACUUUUCUUUCCACCAUUUCAUCGAAAAGUUUGGACGCUUCAGCCAUCUCAUUUGUGCCACAAAGCCCAUAAAUAAGUGCAGUGAAAGUAUAAACAUUUGGAGCAAUUUUUUUCUCAUUCAUCUCACUAAAUAACUGGAAUGCUUUUUGUAGUUGUAGGUCUUUGCAAUAUCCACUAAUCAAUGCUGUAAAGGUAGUAGAAGUUGGCUCUAACCCUUUAUUGAUCAUUUCAGUAUACAGAGACUCGGCGGCACUCAAAUCCCCAUACUUGCACUGACCAUUUAUCAAAGAAUUGUAAGGAUAUACAGUUUCUCUUAUACCAUCUUCUAUCAUUCUAUCAAAAUAAGACACUGCAACAUCCAACCUCCCUCUUUUGCAAAAGGAAUCAAUCAGAAUAGAGUAAGUAAUUUCAUUCGGUGGAAAGUUCAUCGAAUGCAUAUUACUAUAAAGCAACUCAGCUUUAUCCAAAUCUCCACUUUUGCACAAAGAGUUUAUUAAAGCAUUAUAUACAAACAAACUAGGAAGAAAGCCGAAUCCCCCUAACUUAACAACCAAAUCAUAAGCACUAUCAAUUUUUCCCUUCUUUCUUAACCCAUCCACUAACCCCGAUAUAGCAGCCUCGGAUGGAGCAAGCCCCAAUUCAACCAUUUCAUUAAUGAGGCAAAUUCCAUCCUCAAAUUGUUGGACCCUACAAAAUCCAAGUACUAGUGUACAAUAUGUAACAACAUCUUCCUUCAAACCCUUUUCCCUCAAUGAUCUUCUAACCUCAACAGCUUCCGAAACCCGAUGACCCUUGCACAGACCAUGAAUCAAGACAUUGUAAGUCACAAUACUCAAAUCAAACCUAUUAUACUCCAUCCACACAAUCUUUUCCUUAGCUCUAAGAAAAUCUUUCAAUUCACACAUACUCCUAAUUACGGCGGAACAAGUAUAAGGAUCAGGUUUAACACCAGCAUUCACAGACUCAUCAAAAAGUUCCCAAACCAUUAUAAACUUUCUAAUUCUCAAGAGUCCAUUCAAGAGUGCACUCAAUGUUCUAACCUCAGGCAACAAUGCAUUAACAAGCAUGAGUUUUACAACAACCACAGCAUCUAAAACUCUUGUAUUUUGCAAAUAACUAUGAACCAAAAAAUCAAACCCCAAAGUGGAUGAAAACUUACAUUGCUUGUGAGAUUCAAGAAACUUUGAAAAAACAAACUUUGGAUCAGACUCACGAAGGAGAAGGGUAUGCAAGAGUGAAUUUGCAGGCCAAAAAAGUUUAUUGUGAACAAGGGCAUGAACCAAGAUGGCAAAUGAGGUUAUGGAAUGGUUCAUGUUUUUGUGUAAACCGAGAAAGUUGAAGAAUCUUAAAGCUAACUUGGAAUCAUCUAAGGUGUUGAUUAAGACUCGUUCUACGUGAUGGGGUUUCAAUGUGGAUGAAAUUGAAGGGUCGUUGAAUGCAACAUUCCAACUCAGAUUUCCUCGAACAAUGUUGGAAAUGAGAGAAAUGAAACGAGUGUCGUUUUCGUGGUUGAAUUUGGAUGUGGAAAAAUUGUUUUGAAGAAAAGGGGUGAUUGAGAGUUGGCGUAGCUUCAUCGGAAUUAAUUCGCCACCGUCGCAACCCCUCACGCGGAUGGAAUUGGUUUUUGGGGACUUCUCUAACUUUUAUCAAACCAAACAGGUCAGAUUGUCGAACAUUUUAAAAAAGUGAUUUUUAUUUUAUAUUUUUUAAAAUAAUUUGUAUAAAAAUUUAUUUAAAAAUAAUAUAAAUUUUUUAGAUUUAUUAUUAAUAAUUAAACAAAUAAAUUUUAAUAAUUUAAAUAUUUAUUAUUAAAUAUUUUAAUAUGAUAAAAAUUAUAUUUUUAAAAAAAUGUAUAUUUCAAAAAUAAUUUAUAAAGAGUUUCUUAAAUUAAUUUAUCAUUUUAAUACUUUUUUUAAAAUUUAUUAUCCAAAAAAUUGUGAAAAAUAAAUAAAAAUUUAAAAUUAUAUUUUAAAUUAAUUAUUAAAAUUAAUUAAUUAUUUGAAACUUUAUUUUUUUUAAAGUUAUAAUAAAAAUAAAUAUUAUAAAAUUAUUUUUAGAAAAAAAUUUCAAAAACAUGCCAUAGUUUUUACUUUAUUGUUUAUUUUUUGUGAUUUUUGUUUUUUUAUGUGAAAUCAAUCUCUAUUUAUAUUAUUGUAUGUAUUUUUCUUAUAGAUGAAGUUGUUUUUUUUAUCUUAUUACUAAGAGUUUGGAGGAGUUGGAUAAGAAAAAUUUGAAAUUUUAAAAAACUAUUUUUUUUAUUAAGGUAUGAGCUUUUUUUUUUCUUUUCAAAACAAAUGUUUGAGAUUUAAAUAUUUCUCACCUCUUGUUUGAGAUUGAUUUAUAACAAGAGCUCAACAGGAUGAUCAUGAAUAUAGUAAGAGGACCGGAGUUUUGCUUGAGACGAGAGCUUUGCUACUUAAACUUAAAUGAUCAAGUGUAGAUUAAUUUAUUUGGAAACUUUUGAAUUUGUAUUUGUAGAUGAUGAAAGACUUAAAAAACCUCAAAUCAGAUGAAUAUAGUCGUUUGACACAUUGGCCAAAUGUCAAAUAUAGAGUUGUCACAUAUCAUUUGAUAUUGUUUUAACUCAGAAGCAUGCAAAGCUUUUUGCAUAAAAGUGCAGAUGCAAUGUACUUGUGUUCUUGCUCAUAACUCAUCAAUCUAGGGAUCAAUAUAAAAACGGUUUUCUUUGGGCCUUCAUUUCGAGUUAUAGAUUUGAUUAUUCAUCUUAGUAGCAUUUGAUACUAUUAACAUACAAUUUGGACUGUCAAUAAUGAUUUGUUUUUAAUUUUGUUUUCGAUAGAGGACAACCAUAAUGUUGUUCUGAACAUUCUCCAAAUAAUCAAAAUAUCAUACAAUCCUUCUUCCAUCAAUAUGGUUUAACAUUCAUUUGAGAAAUUUUUCAAAUCAUUUAAUACUUCAAAAAAUGAGUAUUCUUGUCUUAAUGUAUAUAGAUUUUGAUGAUGAAAUCAAUUUCAAUUGCUUAAACAAUAAUCAUGUGAUCUUUGCAUGAAUAUAGAUGUUCAUGUUUGAUUUUCUAGCUUUGAAUAAAUUACUAAAAACAUAAGUUUAAUGAUAAUCUGAUCAUAAUUAGUGAUUUACUUAAAAAAUAAAUGACUUGUGUGCAAUUUGAUCAGAAAAUACUGCUCCUAUGUUUAUUUCAGCGUAUUUUAUCAACUAUUUUAUAAUCAUUCAGAUUCAAAUAUGAUUAAGAUUUCCUCAAACAAACGAGUUAGACGAAACAAGUGUCAAUUUUGUCGUUGAAUUUGGGUGCGUGACCAAGUUGGUGUAUCUUUAUAAGAAUCCACCGCCACAUAAAUUGGUUUAUCUAACCAAACAUAUAUUUUUUUUUAUGUAAAUUCUUUUUAACAAUUUUUUUGUGUGAAAUCAAACUCAUUUUAUAUAAUUGUAUUGUAAAUGAAGUUUUUUUCUUAUAAAAUAAGAGUUUGGAUGAAUUAGAUAAGAAAAGUUUCAACUUGUCAAUUAUGUCUUUAUAUCAAUAGUGAAAUUUGAAUUCACAUCCUUAUCGAUUAUGAGGCUAAUUUUACUCAAAGCUUGAUAGCGAAAUCAUAUCUAUUAAGUUUCACAUUAUGUUUCUAAUGAUAAACUGUAUUAGAAAAUGUGACAACCAUGGAUGCAAGAAAAUGAUUAAAUAACUAAUGGAUGCUAAUCCCCCAAGGGUUCUAGUUGGAAACCUACGUUGGAUGCACUUCAGCGGAGAUUGGUUUCUUGGUCUAAUAGGUUUGGUGGUUUCAGAGUUAGAAUCAUACUGUUGAACUUUGUAAUGAUGCAUUUUUUCAUGUCAUUUGUAAAGAUGCAAGUCAAGGUUUGGAAGAUGGUUAGCCGUAUUCAUAGGAUGUUCUUGUGGGGAGGCUCUCAAAGUCGAUCGAAGGUGGCUUGGGUAAAGUGGACAAAUGUGUGCAUACAGAAAAAUGAAGAGGUCUGAGUGUCCCAGAUCUCAUGUUGGUUUAUCAUAGGGCAUUGUGGCUACAGGUGUUGCAAUGAUGCAAUUUUCUGAGUUAAAAUAUAUGCAAUGUUAAAAAAUAAGCCUCAAAACAUCAUGUUAUAUAUGUUACAUAUCAACCAGUAAUUAAAGCAAUGUAAAUAAAAAUUCUUCAACGAAAAGUUUUCUUACCAUGAUAGAGACAAAUUGGAUAAGAAUAGGAGGAAUUGCAAAGCAUAUAAGCCACAUAACAAUCUCUGCGGCAGUCGCGACAUAUCGAAGUGCCAAUGGUACUCGAAGACAGUAAACUCUUCAUCGAACCAUUCAAUCUCAAGAAUAAUUUUUUUAUAAAAUUGUGUAAGAGAUAUGAAAGUAGUACAAUGAUGAGAUGCCAAUUCCUUUAGUUUGUUCUUUGGACCUCUAACUUUUAAGGACUUGUAAAUCUACAUAGCCUCUGUAUAAAGAAGCUCUACAUAUGGAAUUAUAGGAAAUAUUAUGAGAUUUGCAUAGAGCUUAAUAACUACUUUUCCACAAUUAAAACCUAUAUAUCAAUAAAUAAAUCAAAUAUAUAAUAAAUACUCGUAUCACGUGAACUCUGAAAUAUUGACUCAGACAUCAACUAUGUAUAUACAUAAUCUAUAAAAUAUUGACAUAGACACAAACACAAACAUUUUACUCAACACCGACACUAACAAUUAGACAACGAUAAUAAUUUAAAAAAAUAAAAGUGAUUGUAUCAAAUCACAAUUGUCAAUAUCAAGACGGUGUUAGCCACAUCUUUAAUAUAAAAUAUGAAUGAUGAACAGAAACUAACGUAGAUACACAUGUAUCGAAAAAUAAAUAAAUAGAUAGAUCAUUGAUAUUAAAUUCAACAUAAUAUAUUUUAAAAAAUGUGACGACCAUGAUGUUUACAAAAGACCAUCUUUUAUAUUUAUUUUGUUUAAACAUUUUGUUUCAACAUAAUAUAUUUAUUUUGUUUAAACAUUUAGUAAAAUGAUAAUUAAAUUUAGUAUGAUGUAUAUAAUUUGGGUGAUAUAGUUAAAUGUGGAAGCACCGUGGAGUGAAUGACGCGUAAUCGUAACCCAGGUGGCUAAGUCACCACCCCCUUCACUUCACCUUCGUAGGUACAAUCCUUCUUUCAAUUCUCAAUUAUCAAUUUCAAUUCCUCGCACACUCUUCCUCUUCCAAUUACCAAACCCCUAUCAAUCAAUCAACACAAACAGAGGGGAUCAUGGUUCCACCGGCGGUUCAAUCGCCGAACCCACAAGAAACCCAACAAUUCCUAAGCUCCGUUCUCUCCCAACGCGGUCCAUCAGCAGUACCCUACUCCGAAGACACUAAAUGGCUCAUCCGUCAACACUUACUCACUCUUAUCACAACCUUCCCUUCUCUCGAACCCAAAACCGCUACUUUCACUCACAACGACGGUCGCACCGUCAAUCUCCUCCAAGCCGACGGUACUAUUCCGAUGACCUACCAAUCCGUCACUUACAACAUCCCCGUCGUCAUUUGGCUCAUGGAAUCUUACCCUCGUCACCCUCCUUGUGUUUAUGUUAACCCUACCCGAGACAUGAUUAUUAAACGCCCUCACCCUCAUGUUAACCCUUCUGGUUUAGUUUCUGUCCCUUAUUUGCAUAAUUGGAUCUACCCUAGUUCCAAUUUAGUUGAUCUUGUUCUUUCUUUGAGUCUCAUCUUUGGUCGCGACCCUCCUCUUUAUUCCCAACGUAGACCUAACCCUAACCCUAAUCCCAAUCCCAAUUCCAUUUCCAAUCUUCAUCAUAGUCAUAGUCAUAAUCAUAAUCCUAAUCAAAAUCUCAAUCCAAGUUCUAAUUUUGCAGCUUCUAAUCCAUCUGGAUAUACUCACCCUCCU